rnacentral:lncRNA from 1 species
GCCUCCGCCACCGGUGCUCUCUUCCCCACCACCACCAUCACCGCCACCGCCAUCUCCUUCGCCUCCACCACCUCCAGUUUACUCCCCUCCUCCACCUCCACCAGUUUACUCACCUCCACCACCCCCUCCUCCCCCACCGCCACCACCACCUGUUUAUUUUCCGCCACCACCUCCACCUUCACCACCACCACCGUCUCCCCCUCCACCCUCACCCCCACCACCUUCUCCAUCACCGCCUCCCCCUCCCUCGCCACCACCACCGGUAUUAUCGCCCCCGCCUCCAGUUUAUUGCGUCCGUUCCCCACCACCGCCACCGCCAAAUUCUCCCCCGCCUCCCAUUUAUUCUCCACCACCACCUCCAGUUCAUUCACCGCCCCCACCAAGUCCUUACUAUAGUUCACCACCGCCCCCGCCGCCACAUCAUUCACCUCCACCACCUCCCCACUCGCCACCCCCGCCUCCACCUAUCUAUCCAUACGCAUCACCGCCACCGCCACCCGUGCAUUCCCCACCACCACCUGUCCAUUCUCCACCACCUCCAUGCAUAGAACCGCCUCCUCCUUCUCCACCACCCCCAUCACCACCUCCAUGCAUAGAACCGCCUCCUCCUCCUUCUCCACCACCAUGUGUAGAAUAUUCGCCACCUCCACCAUCACCACACUCACCACCGCCACCACCAGUUCAUUACUUGCCUCCACCAUCACCAUCACCCCCACCACCACCUGUGUAUGCUUCUCCGCCACCUCCACCAUCUCUGCCUCCCCCAGUUUACUACCAUUCUCCGCCCCCACCCUCACCACCUCCUCCAACCCCAUGUGAAAAUCCUCCACCUACUCCAUCACCACCGCCCCCAAUCAUUUAUGAGAGCCCACCACCUCCAACCCCUGUAUAUGAGGGGCCAUUGCCACCAAUCUUUGGAGUUUCAUACGCUUCUCCACCGCCACCACCCUUCUAUUGAUUCUUUUGAGAAUUUUCCUCCUCUUGACAUUUCCUCAAAGAAACAAAAUUUACAAUUAUAUUAGUGGUCAUGGCCUCUUUUCCCUGUUCUCCAUCAAAACUUCUUCCUCUUUGGGCAAUUCUCGUCGCCGGGUGAGGACUAAUAAGAAGAUUCAAAAUGUCAUAGAGCUUAAUGAAUUAUUGCGGCAAAGGUGCUUCACCAUGGUGGGUAUUAGUUGUUGAAGAAGAAACAGAGAAGAGGCUAAAGAAAGAGGAGGUAAGAGGAGAAAGUCUCUCCAUAUUUAUUUGAAUUGUUAUGGAUAUUUGAGUUGUGAAAUAAAAUGGCAGAGAAAGAUUAGGUUGCAGGAAAGUGUAUGUAUAGGGAUGAAUGGAGACCAUAAGAAGAGUUAGAAGGCAGCAGCACUUCUGCUGCUGCUGGUUUGUUGGUUUAUUGUUAUUAUCUCUGUUAUAUCAUACUUUUAUUUCUUUUGCUUUCCAAUUUAUAGUAUAAUCAUGAACAUUUACUUGUAUUGAUUUUCAGAAUUCAGAUCAUUCCUUCUUCUCCUUUGUGUCUUAAUUUCGCUGCGUGUUUUGAUUGAUGGAGAAGCUCAUGUUUGUGAAUCAAUUUAAUUAUGCUUGGGUGUUUCUAUAUUCGUAUGCUUGUUCAUUUUCCAAAUUACUCAAAACAAGCUUCCAACUCGAUUUAGGAAAUGAGUAUCAGUCACUCUCUCCCUAUAUUUCAUCUCCAUCUGGGGUUUGAUGAUGAUGGGGCUUGAUCUAGCAAAACCCGUGCUUCCCAUGACUGACACCAACAUCAAGUUUCCAGUAUAUGGGGGAAGUCUAUUCAAUAUUUAUUUGGUGGCCAGUGUUUCAAUAUAAAAUGGAAGUGGAAGUUUUGAGUCCUUCACAAUAUUGGUUUGUGAAACUAGUCAUAGAGGCAGGCAGGUCCCCAUUGGAGAUCUUGGUGGGACUUGAACGGCCAUCUCAAGUGCCUUGAUUAUGGGGCCUUUAGAUUGAAUCCCCUCAUGGGACCCUUCUCAUUCGGUUGAUGCAAUUGGGAUUGGUACCAUGUGCCCCCCCCCCCCCCCCCCUCCAAAUUUUAAUUUUGAAAUCAAACCUGUUCACCUCACCCUCACACUUUCCCAUGGGAUUUUGGAAUAUUUUCUCUUAUAGUCUUAUCUCAUCACAUGCAUCUGAUGAAAUUGGCUGAAAACUAUAGUGCUAUUUUUAUGUUGUUGCUUUGCUUGGUUGUGAGGUUCUUUUGAAAAGCAUGCUUUGCCUUUUUUUAGUAUGGGUACAAGAAGAGAACUGGCUGAGUCUAUUCCUUAGAUGAAUCUCAGUUCUCAUCAGAAUCCAUACUUUGAAAUUCCAAUUGGCUACUUGCUCAGGUGAUGUUAUUGCUCCUUUCUUUUGGAAAAAGUCAGUGGGUCAGCUCCAUUCUCUUUCAGUUUGUUCCUCUUUGGAGAUCCCUUAUCAUCAUCAUAUGCCACCAUUUAUUGUCGUUGUUUCCCCUCUCUUUUAAAAGCUAUGUGUUUCCAUAGCCGGCAGGGGAGGGAAAUAAAGUAAGCCAUAAGCCUAUAUGAUCAAAUAUUAGACCAGAACUUCCGCCAUUUUCGGCAUAUAAUCAACGCCACCUGGCCACCACUCACUUAUUUUAACAAAACAUAGUAAACUAGGAACCUUCAACCCUCCACAGCACGAAAAUGUUGCUGCCUCCAUUACCACCACCCACAGCCAUUGCCAUUGUUCUAGAAGCCUAGAACAGCUGCUGCUUAUGGUGGUUCUGCAGUACAGCCAUCCUUUUCCACCUUGCACGCCCACCACCAUCUCCACCUCCACGUCCACAUGGCAUUUCCAAUUGGCCUGUUCAAUUUCCUCUUAGACAAGUUGGAGGCAAGAAAUUCCUUCCAGAUCAUGUUGAGACUGGAGCACCACUUGACUCAUUCUUCUCAACAGACCCUACUGGUCUCUGGCUGGAUUUGGUAUACUUCCUACAUUGCAUGUGACACUGACAGACCCAUAUGCCUUAUUUCUUCACUAGUCAUUUUCUGCCAGAAAACAGUAAAUUUCCUUCUUCCUUGCUUGGAAACUGCAAUACAAGAAUUACCAAAUUGGUCGCUACUCUCCUCCAUAAGUAUGCUUAAUUGGUUAUACUCCAAUGAAUUUUGGAAAAAGCUGCUUCCAGAAUAAUUUCAAUUUCGAAUUCUCAACAGAAAGAGCAAUUCCAAUAUAGCAUCCUUCUUUUUCUUUUCAAUAAUAAGAAAAAAUAAAUAAAAAUACAACAACCAUUUCUUUGAUUGUGGAUAAGUGAAGUUAUCACUGUCCUGGAAAGAACAAUCUAAAAUAGUCCAAUCUAAUUUCGUCCAGCACUUUAGAAAGGGGGAGAGAAUAUCAAAAUGGUGGGGAAAAAUGUCUUAUACAAAAAGGUUAUGACAAAAUUGCAUCAUUGGGUUGGGGGCACCAUACCACCCACCCUAAUAAUAACAAUUAAUUAUUAUCAUCCAUUAUAAUAAAUAAAAAACUUCUUUAUUAAAUGCCCAAUAAAUUUCAACACACACAACAUUAUGAUGUGAAAUGUCCUACAACAAGGAAAGUGGUUCGAGUCCUCCUCUAGUAAUACUCCAUGGAUUAUAUUUGUAAAGCAUUUUUCUGUCAUUUUCCAAGCCUUUAAGCUUUGCAAAUGCCCUUUUUUUGUCUUUUUUAUUUUUAUUUUUGCAAUUUAGUCAAAUUUUAGCAUUAGACCAUACCCUUGUCACAAUUAAUAUUUUCCAAGCCUAACUAAAAACUUAGAAGAAAACUUUGUCCACUUUGUCAUCUUCUACCCUUCAUCAUCCAAAGGAUGGUGAUGUAAAAUAAAUAGAAGUGGGCCCAAAAUUGAGGACCACCACAUGGGGUGUUAGGGCUUUUCACACCAUAUAUCAUGUAGAUUUUAAUGUAAUGAGUUGGUUGAGUCCACUUUCAUUACUAUAAAUGAGGACAUAACUUUCAUUUAUUAAGACCCUCAAUUGACAGCCUGUUAGUAGGUCUAAUAUUUUAAUGCCAUUUCAUAAAGUGAUGCUCCUCAAAUCCAUCCCAUUACCACCUUUUUCAUCUAAACUUAACCUUAACAAUAUCAUAGACUCUCUCUCCACCCAACCCUCUUCCCUCUCAAAUAUACAAUCCAUGAGAUUAGGCUGCUUAAGACACUUAGAUUAUUGUAGAAUAAUUAAUCCAAACAGAUGGGCAAUGUUUAAUAUGUAUUGACUCUUAGAUAUAAAUCAAAGGUCGCUAUAGUUGGUUACAGCAAAUUCGAGUAUUAGGUCAUUGCUCCAUCAGCCUUCGAGCUGGCACUGUCGCCUACCAAUGUUCCCCUGUGUCAUAUGCCUAACUUUUAGGCGUUCCAACAUUUAUUUUCCCAUGUGAUUUCCAAAUUAUCAUUUAUACCUUAACUUCCAAUCUUCUUUGAGAAAAAUAAAACAAAAUAUUUAGGAUUUUGCAAAAACACAAUCUCGACAAUAACCUUUGACCAUUCAGGUAUUCCCUUUUAAUGAUAUGGGUAUUACCUUCGAUUGACGACAGUAUAAAAUUUGAAUUAUUUUUACAUAAGUGUAUGAAAACUCAUUUUUCUUUAUUUUUUAAUAUAAUUUUCAUGGAUUGGAGGGGCACCCAAGGAUUUAAUGCUCUAACCGUUUGAGACCAAUUUUAGAUUGAUAUAAAUACAAAAUUAUGGUAGUAGGUUUACAUUAAUGUUAAGGAGAUGGGAAACUGUUGUGUCAUUCAUAUAAGGAAACACAACCGUUGUAUUAAUGAAUGCAUUUCCUUCCUAGUCAUAAAAUGGUUAGCAUCAAACUAUGUCAUUAUCCUUUUUUUUCUUUUUCUUUUUUUAAGGAUAAAUUACACUAAACAUUUGGUGGGGACGGAGUAAUUGGAGAUUAUUAUUCUAAUUAUUUUUUUAGUAUCAAAUUAAUGAAAUGGUUAGUUAUAAGCAUCCAUAUAAAUUGGUACUAGGAAUUAUAUAAUUAUAUUUGAAUUAAUAAUUGAAAUUAUAUAAAUGUAUAAUUUAAUGUAAUAAAAUUGAAUAAUGAUAUUUAUAAAUCAUAUAUAAUAUUAAAUAUAUUAACAAUUAAUAUUAUUACUAAAAAGAAGUUAAUGUAAAUCAAUUAUAAAAUGAGUCCCCAAUGGUCACCAGUUCCAAUUCCCUCCGAACCACUGGAAAUUAACUUCAAGCCCCGUGGAAUUAGUCAUUAAAAUAAAAGGUAAAAAAAUUUUAAAAUAAAAUAAAAUAAUUUCAAAAGUGUUCAUAAAGAAUAAUUCCACCCCACCUCCCUUUUUGAUAUCGAUUAGAGUUAGUUUAGUAAUGUUUUUGAAAAAUAUUUUUGAUCAAAAAUGUGUUUUUUUUAAAAUAAGAAUAAUAAAAAUAAGUUAAUAUUUAGGAAAUAAUUUUACAAAUUAUUUUUAAUUUUGAACAAUUAUUUAUAAUGUUUUUUUAAAAGAAAUAAUUGUUAAUCAAUUCUCUUUAAAACAUUAUUAGAAAAAAAACGUUUUUAACACCCUCCAAGUUGCUGUGAAAGAAACGACGUCGUUUCUUCUCUCCGUUGAUUAUCAAACGACGUCGUUUGCAAGUGUUCUUACACCAUGAAAUAUGCAACAAAAAAAAAAAAGGUAAUGAAUAAUUUGAUUGGUUAGACAUUAUCCUAGAAUUUUGUAGGGCACAUGCGCCUUUUUCAGCUUUGAUUUGAUUGAUCAGCCACGUUGAUACUAAGUAAUUGGGGGGCCUUUCACAUGGGUUCGGCUGUGUGGCUAUUACUUCCCCACUUAUUUUGGCUCUACAUGCCCUCUUUGCUUUUAAUUACCUACUUUAUCUCAUAAUCUUCUACAUUUUUAUUAUUAUUAUUACUUCUUUUAAACACUUAUUAUUAUUAUUCUAGUAAAAUAUUUUGAAGUUUAAAUAUAAUUUAAUAUUAUUUAUAAAAUAAUUUUAAAAUUAAUUCACUUAGAUUAUAUUUGAUUUUCAAAAAAUACUACAAAAAGAAAAAAAAUUAUGAAAAAUUAUUUUAUUAUGUUAAAUUGUAAUAUAAAAACUUUAAUUAAAAUUACAUAUUUAAAUAUUAUUUCAUCUUAUAAGAGAAAUAAAUUUGGAAUAAUAUAAAAAUAAUAAUUUAUUCACUUAAAAUAUUUUUUAUUUUUUAUUUUAUUUUUUCUUUUCCUUUUUUUUAUUUCCUUUUUUUUUCCCCACCACAUAUUACCUCAAAUUUUUGGAUAAUGGAACAUAGCCAAAGUUAAAAGAUGAGCAACAGGAGCUUAAAGAAAUAUUAGAAUCGAGGAACUGGCAUUGAACAUAUUGUGGGCUAGCUUUGGAUGAGAAAUGGGCCGGUUGGACGACAUAUGCUCAAAGCCCAAUUAGUCCUCCAGGCUUUGUCAUCUUGCUUGGCCCAUCUUAAAAGGAUAAGAGGGUCGGCCCAAUUCAGUCGUAAUUUGGGCCAAGAAGGAUUUUCGCAUGUGCGCUCCGAGUAACGAGAUUUAAAUGAAUACUCUUAUAUUAUGUUUGAUUCCAAUAAAAUAUUAAGCAGAAAAAGGUGUUAAAAAAAUGAUUUUUUUUUUAAUAUUCAAUUUCAUCAUGAAAAAUAUACAUAUAAAAAAUUAAAUGUAAUUAAAAUAAAUUAAAAUUUAUAUAUUUUAAAAUUAUUUAAUUUUUAUAUAAAAGAAAUAAAAUAAAUAAAAAUGAGUCUAUACUAGCCUAUAAAAAUAACUUAUUUAUUUUAAAUUUAGUUUUUAUUUUAUUUUUGUUUUUACUAUUUACAAUUUUAAAAAACCACACCUAGCCUUAAUAUUGAAAUAAUUAAAUCACAUAAGCAUCUUUAAUGGGGUUAUUUGAGAUCUCAUCGACCACUUUAUGGGCUAUAUAUAUUUAACUUGGAACUUGAUGGAUUCCAAUACCUCAGUGUGUUGGUGCUUCAACCGAAUAUGGACUCCCUCCACUUAAAUAAGAGUACACUAGUGCUCCUACAAAACAACUCCCACCAAUAGAUCAUUGGGAAAGCCUCCAACACUAAAGUUAGUUUCUCCUUUUUAUAAGUACUUUUUUUUUUUCAAUAUUUUCAAAUUUGGACGUUAACUAAAUUGGAAAACUUAUCACGGUUCAUUAAUCGAAUCAUCGAUCGAACUGAUGACAUUAUAAACAUAUAAUUUAUAUAUUAUUUAAAAAUUAAAAUUUUAUUUGAAAAUCAUGAAACUAGAUUCAAAUUAGAAAUUUUAAUUUUAAUUUAAAAUUAGAAAUCUUAAAAUUUAUUUUUAAAUCAAUACCCUAUUUUAAAAUAAAAAAUUUAUUUAAAACUAUAUUUAAAUUAAAAUGACAAGUUUUAAAAAUCAUAAAAUUAAAAAAUAAUAAAUAUAAAAUAAAAUAAAAUAAAUAAUAAUGGAGAUGAAUAUGGUAAAUAAAAAUAAAAAUAAGAAUCUGGAAAAGGAAGAGGGAAGAGGUGCCACUGAAAGAGAAAACGAUAAGGAGAGCAUCAUGACAACGACGCAUAAGGAUGGCAACAGGGCGGGUUCGAGAUGGGUCGCUCCCAUCCCAACCCCGCCCCGUUUAUUUGAAACAAUUCUCAUCCCCGUCCCAUUUAAAAAAUUAAACAGGGUGGGACGGGACAGGGCGGGGGUAUGAUAAAUUUAACUUUUUUUUUAAUUUUAAUUUUUUAAAAAGAAAAUUACUUUUAAAUUUUUUAAUUAUAUUAAAAUAAAUAUAUUUUAUAAAUAAUUAAAUUAUUAUAUUUUUUAUAACUUAUUUUAUUAAAAAUAUUUUUUAUUAUCUAUAUAUUUAAAAUAAUAAAAUAAAAAUUAAAUUAUUUUAAUUUUAAAUUUUAAAUUAAAUUUAAUUAAAAUUUUAAUUUUAUAUAUAAUCGGGACUAGGCGGGCGGGUGGGGCAAUAUCUGAACCUGCCUUGGGUUUUAAAAAAAAUUCUCAAACUCGUUCAUUAAAAUUAAACCCCCGUCUCAUUAGGGGUGGAGUGGGGCGGGGCGGGGCGGGGCGGGUACCCGAAAAGACUUAUCCCAUUGUCAUCCCUAAUGGCGCAGGGGGUAUUGGGCGGGGGGGAGGGGGGCAAAGAUUGUUGGUGCUUUAUGUGGUGGGAGGGAUUGGUUUGGUUAGGGAAGGGGGGGCUCGUCGACGUCGUUUUGAUGCUGUAAAAAGAAAAAAAAAAUGGUUAAAUCGGCUAGUUUUUAAAACCAUGAUUUUUUCAAUAGUUUGUUCAACAAUUUAGGAAGUGAGUUUCAUUGCAAGAUUACCUUUAUUAGGGUUGACAAAUAUGAUGAGGCUUAUCACUUACUAAUCGAAUAAAAAAUUUAUUAGAUUAGUAAAGGUCGUUUACACCUUUUUACCAUUUGGCAACUAACAUAUAUGGCAUGUUUAGUCACUUAAAAAGUGACAUCAACAUUCAACAACCUAUUUUUACUUUAGCAAAACCAAUAACUUUGAAUUAGGAUGUCCAAGUCGCUAAUACCAAACAAAAAAGGAAGAACCAUAUUUUCUUAUUGCAUUCAAAGCUAAUCAUUUUUAUGUCAUCUUGUGAUUCACCUUUGGUUUCGAUCCUCAACGAUAAAGCUAGAAGAGAUGAGCACUAGCUCCAAAGUUAGCAUAAGAAAAAGGGGGUCAUUGACAUGGAAGAUCCUCAGAUUGGUACGAAUAAUUGAACAUAUAUAUACCAACAACCAAUGGCAAGAUGAUUCAUUUUCUACAAAUUUGAAAAACAACUUUUCCACUAUUAUUGGGAGCAUUUUGGUGUCGUUGUUGUCCUAGACCAUUUGCUAGCUCUCGCUGUUGUUGUCCUCGAUUGUUGGGCCCAUUUGGAUUCCAUUGCCGAGUGCUUUGUCCUCUGCAAGAGUGGAUGAUAUCAUGAUAUGAGAAUUUAACCAGCCACGCCCACCAUCGCCACAUCUAUUUCACUCACCAUCACGUUAACUAAGGAAGGCUGAAGCAUACGCAAGGUACGUCUUCUCCUUCGCUCUUUGUGAAGCUAGAGUAUGCAUGUAUCCUUGAAGAGCCCAAACAAGUUGGCUAAAUGAAGGAGCUAGUGAUAUGGAAUCUUGAAAAAAAUGUGAACACAUCAUGGGAAAAGAGAUAUUUGAUGGGUGGUGCUUAAUCAACCAUUCUUAAGCCCGACAAAAACUACUUAAAAUAUUCGAUAAGACAUCAUUGGAAAAGAGAAGAUACGAGGAACUUAUUUACAUUUAUGUGAAUUUCAUACGACCACCAGUUUUUAUAGAUCUUUUUUCCUAUUAUAUUCUUUGUUAGCUAUAGUCAAAUGCAUGACAAAAAUGAUGGGGAUAAAGAACCAACUUGUUUAAUCCUUAACCACUAGCAAGGUUUUCAUAGGAGAUCAAUUAAAAGAAAACUCAAAUCAAAUUAAAAAGAUACAAAUCAAAUUCUAUCAAAUAGGCUUUUUUUUUUUUUUUUUUAUGAAAGGAGACUACGAAAUAUAAUACCUACAAAUACAAUUGAAAAAUGAGUCACAGUAAUUUUCAAAACUAAAUUUUCUAACAUUGUAAAGGGAAUUUGACCAUCAAAUGAUUGAAUCUAGAUUACAAAUAUCUUUUUUUGUUAAACAAUCUGUUGUUGUAUUUGUUUCCCUAUAAAUGUGAUGAUAAUCAUAGAUCCUAAAAUAACUUCUAAAUAUCUUUCAUUAAUAACAUAAUAGAACUAUGAAUAUUAUUCUUUUUAUUAUUACAAUCUAUAAUUAUUUUUGAGUUACCCUCAAUCUCUAGGUUUAAGAACUCAUUGUUUUUUAUAACUGAUAUGUCAUCUCUUAAGGUCAUAUAUUCUGCAAUAAUUAUUGAAGCAUUACUUAUAUGUCUAUUCACAACCAUUUGUAUGAUACCAUUAGUGUCUCUAAUAACUCAUCCUGAAGCACUUUUAUUCUCUAUCCUUGAACCAUCAAAUAGUUAUUUAUUACAAUUAUAUAUUAUGCACUUUAACACCCUCUUUUACUUACAACCCCACUUUAACAUCCUCCUUUGUAUGCAACCUCGUGCUCACAUGUGGUCCAAAUAUGCAAAUGAGGAAAACGAAUAUGCAAUGAAACUCAAAUAUAUGAUCUCCCAUCAAACGAAAUUAUGAUGUGAUAUUAAAUUACUAAUUUUCUUAAAAGUUUAAAUGAACAAUUUUAAAAGGAUUGGUAAUUCAACAUUAAGGUGGUGUUUGUUUUUUUACUUAAUUCUAAAUAGAACUUUAAUGUUUAAUAGUGUUAAAUAUUAGGCUGUUUGUUUUUGUAGUAUUUUAUUUCUAUUAAGUAUUAAAAAAUAAAAAAAAUCAAUAUGUUAUUUUUUCUAUUUAGAAAAAGUUAUUGUAGACCCCCAUUUAGGCAUGGAUCACUUUUUCUCUCUUUGUUUUUGCAGAUCACAUUUUUUAGCCAGGUGUCACUAUCCCAGCGGGCCACGUGUCACAUCCUUAGUGGCCAUAAGGAAUCAACCUCGCUUUUUUAAACUGCAAUAGGACUUUGACACGUGGAGGAACUUUCUGGAAGGGGGUCCCACAGGCCGUUAGGGGGCGCGGAUGAGAGAGAAGGAAAGGUGGCUGCAGAAGGAGUGGUGCAGGAAAGGUGGCUGCUGCAGAGAUCGUUGGAGGUGACAGCAUGGUAAAGGGACAGAGGAGGUGGUGAAAAGAGAGAGGAGAGAAGAAAAAAGGAGAGGAGUUUUUCUGAGGGUUCGGGAGGAAAGGAGUAUGGUGGGAACUUGAAGAGAAAGCUAAGAACAGAGGAGGUGGUGAAAAAAGGGAGGAGGGAAGAAAAAAAGCGGAGGAGUUUUUCUGAGGGUUCGGGAGGAAAUGAGUAUGGUGGGAACUUGAAGAGGAAGCUAAGAACAGAGGAGCGUGGAGUUGUUAGGGAGUCCAGGACACAGAGCUGAGAAGUGAGAUUUCCAGGUAUGACCAUUUGUUUUUUUUUUUGUAUAUUUUCUAUUUUUUUUCAGACUGUCCAGGUCUGAUUCUCAGUGAUUUUUCGUUUCUGCCUGUUGGGUUGUUCUAUUUUGGUGAUUACUGAUUAAAUAUUGGAAGAGUUUGUUGUGUUUUAUGUUCUAUUCUAACGAGUAUUUUUUUCCAUCUUAACUCACUGGAUGUUGGACCCAUGGAUGAAAUGAUGAAAUGGAUUCGAUAUGCUAGUUAAAGUCUUCAUGUUCUUCUUCUUGUUGCUAUCCUGUUAUCUCUUUGUUUUCUUUUCCUCUCUGAGUGCAUACUCAAGGCUCCAAGGUCUCAACUGCUUUCCGUGAUGAUGAGAACAGGCCUUUUCAGUUUUCUCCAGGCUUUCACAAUCAGCAAAUACCCUAGGUCGCAUACUACCAAACAUAUUCGUCGGCUAGACGUGGAGGCACAUCUGCUUGUGGCCUGCCCAUUGUUUUUAUGUCCAUGCACAUGUCUUCACUCUGCAUGACCCCUAUCUCUAUUCUCAUGCAAGCGUGUCGUCAUCUCAUCCCCAUGUUUUUUUUCUUAUCCACCAUACCCAUCGUUCAUCUAUCCACCUCUCUCUCUAGGUCGUCAUACUCAUUCCCUCACCCAAGCUUCCAUAUCCAUACAACCCAUACCCAUCCAGAAUUCUGUCCGCCGACAUCCCACCUUCUCCGGAUGUCUCACAUCCGGAAUUCUAUCCGUCGACAUCCCACCUUCUCUGGAUGUCUCACAUCCGGAAUUCUAUUCGGCCGACGCCCCACCUCCUCCGGAUGUCUCACAUCCGGAAUUCUGUCCGGCCGACGUCCCCAUUCUCCGGAUGUCUCACAUUCGGAAUUCUAUCCGGCCGACGUCCCCCUUCUCCGGAUGUCUCACAUCCGGAAUUCUGUCCGGCCGACGUCCCCCAUUCUCCGGAUGUCUCACAUCCGGAAUUCUGUCCGACCGACGUUCCGCUUUCUCUGGAUAUCUCACAUCCGACGCCUGACGCCGGAUGGGAGAGGAAGGCAAUUCAACUUCCCCAGACAGCUUGGCUCGUCAGCCACUCGCGAUUCGCCAGAUCCAUUUCCGCCCGCAAUCUUCUGCUCCUCUUGAUUUUAAUAGGCAUGAAUUUUUUUCAUAAUUCUGGAAUAAUGGAAUCUGUUAUAUUAAUUCAUGCAAAACAAAUGGGUUUUGGUGGGAACCCGACAUAUAUGACUUUAUAAUUGAUUGAUUGAUUGAUUUAGUUGCCAUGCAUGAUUGUCUCCAUUAUGCCCUAUGACAUGCUUGAAAUUAUUCUUUAAUUGUGCACUAACCUCACUUCUUGAUAGCGCAUUGUGGCUCGUCACCCAGGUACGUAUCUGUUCCCAUUUUGGUAUUUCUAUAUGCAUAUUUUGAUUUUCAUAUGUGCAUGAUAGUUCUGGGUAUUCACUGUUUUACUCGUCCAUUGUCAUGAUUGCUUCAUUUCAUUAGUAAAGACCUGACUUUAGGGACUUAGAAGGGUGCUACGGUCUUUACCAUACCUUCCCGAUAAGUAACCUGACCCUCGAACCCGAUUCGGUUUUUCGCAAACCGCCUUUUCCAAAAUAAGAAGUCACACUUAGGGUUUUUCUUUCUUAUUUUGUUUACUCUUUUAAAACUAAAACAAAAAUAAGUGGCGACUCCAAGUCAUUUUUCCUAAUCAAUAAAAUCAUUUUUCAAAUCAAAAUCGAGCUCGUCAUCGAGUGGAAAACGCAUUGAGCCGAAAUGCAGGGUCCACAGUUACAUAUUUUGGUUUUUUUUCUAUUUAGUAAAAAGUUUAUAAUAAUAAAAAAAAAAACAAACAACCUAAAUUCUGAAAACAAAUUGUUUUUAGCAAAAAGCCAAAAAAACAAACAUCACCUAAAUCUUUUUCAUUCAUGAAAGAAAAAGAAAUAAGUCUUGAGAAAAUCCAUUUUUCAUGUAAUGAUAAUAAUUUAUUAAAAUUAGGUAAAGCUCAAAUCUCUUCAAAACUUCAAGAUUGCAUUCAAUAUUUCAAAAUAUGAUUAAAAAUAGAAGUCAAUUAUAAUACCACAUAAAAAAAAAAAUCAAAAUCUUAACAAACAUGAGUUUUAAUUUUUAUGAGAAAUAAUUUUUUAUUUUUAUUAUUUAUUUUUACACCCGUUUAUAUUGAAGGUAGAAAGAUGUCGCAACAACACAAGCACUUCAAAAUUCAUGGAAAGACUCCACUUGGCUCCCUUCCAAAUGUAGUAUUGAAGCAACAAAUAUCAACCUCAAUUCUUAUCCAAUUCAAUCAUUGUUUAGAUUGAAAAUUUUCCAUUUAUUUUUUAUUUUAUUUUUUUUACCUGCUAAAAUUAAAACUCGAACAACAUUUUGAAACAAAAACAUGUAUGAUAAAAAUAAGAAAAAACAAAUAUUAUGUUAUGUUUUACAAGUGUUUUAAAAAAUAGUUUUGAAAAAUAAUUUUUAAGAAUAUAUUUAUUUUUAAACUGUUUUUUAAUGUUUAGUAAAAUAAAUGUUUGUUGAGUAACCUAAAAUAUUUUAACCUAUUUUUUAUAUUUUAAAUAUAAAUUUUAUAUUUAGUGUUUUAUUUUUAAUCAUUUUUUAUAUUUGUAUAAUCACUUUUUUAAAACAGUCCUUAAAAAAUAAUUGAAAAUAACCAAAAGAUAUUUGUCUGAAAACAUUUUGGGCAUAUUUGGUAACUAUUUACGAUAAUAGUUUUCUUUUCUUUAGAAUAAAAAAACAAGAAAACAAGUUUGAUUACCAAAAUUGUUUUAUAUUUUUUAUUAUUAAGAAUAAAAAAUAUGGUGUUUUUAAAAAAACAUCUUUUAAUUAUUUUUUAUUAUUUUUACUUGUCUUUUAGAGCUGUUUUAAAAUAUAAUUAUACACACUUGUAAAAUGAUUAAAAAUAAAGCACUAAACAUAAAAAUUAUUUUUUAAAAUAUUAAAAACAUUUUAAAUUACUAGAUAGACUUUUGUAUUACAAAACAUCUUAAAAUAAUUUUUGAAAAUAGUUACCAAACAAACACUUUGCUUUUCCAUUUUUUUUAUUACUAAAUACGUUUUUAAAUAAUUUUCGAAAUAGUUAUCAAAUAGACGGUGUGUUUUUCAUUUUUUUUUAUUACUAAAUGUGUUUUAAAUAAUUUUUGAAAAUAAUUAUCAAAAGACACUUUAUUUUUUAUUUAUUUUUAAUUAUUAAAUGUGUUUUUAUGUUUAUGUUCGAAAAAAAGGGAAAAAUUUUAAAAAUAGUUGUCAAACAAGGCUAAAGGUAAUAAAAGGAGUGUUAUCCAUGUGAUUGUUCAUAUAAGUUGUGGAAAGUGUAUGAUAAAUUAUUAAAUUUUAAAUCAUUCAGGCAUAAAAGAACAUGAGAGCAUGAAAUUUGAAUAGGCAUAUCCUAUUGAUCUCGUUUUUUAGUAGGCACUAAAUCCUAGUGCAGCGGAUCCAAAAAUGCUGGUAGGUGGAAUCCAUGAUCCAUAAAGCCUAAAAUUACUAGCAUGAUUGAUGACGUGUCAUCCCAUAAUUGGGCCCCUAGGAAUCUAAUACAGUUUAAAACUUUGAUCUUAGCGCCUAACGGCUACUUUAUUGACGUUACGUGACUUGCAUCAACUGACUUUCAGUUUAUCUUAUCGUCCAACUGGCCACCACGUGUUCCCAACUAAUUAACACCAUCUCCCCCUUUUAAAAAUGUUAAAUUAUUCAUAUUUAUUAAACAUCUACACUUCAAUUAAAUAAUUAAAAGUUUAAGCACAAUUUAAAUAGAAUUUAUUCUAACUUAAACUUAUUUAUUCAAAUUUAAUGAUUAUUUUAAUCCAACUUUGGUUCUUUAAGUCAAAAGUCAAGCAGUUUAUAAGUGUUAUUUUGGGCAUUAUUUUAUUUUUUAAUAUUUUUAAUAUUAAAAAAAAACACAUCAUUUCCAUUUUAUUAAUAUUCAAGUUCUUUUUAAAAAUAUUUAGGUUAUAUUUGAUAAAAACUAAGGGAAGGAAAAUAAAAAAAUAAAUUUAAAUUUAAUAAUUUAUUUUUUUAUGUUUUUUCAAAUUCAUUUCCCUUAUUUCACUUUAUUAUAACAAGAUUAACUAAUUUAAAAAUAUAUAAAUUUUAAAUUAAUUUUAAUUAUAUUUUAUUUUCUUUUAUAUUUUUUUUUAUAGUGAAACCAAGUAUCAAAAAAAUCAUUUUCUUCAAUAAUUUUUUUCUUUCCCUAAUAUUUUUCGGAACUAGACAUAACCUUAGUGAUACUAAAAAGAGAGAAAAGUGUUGGGCAAUCACGUGAUAAGAAAUAAAAUUUACACAAAUAAUCUAUCACAUUUUUUUUUUUGAGAAAAAAUAAAUUUUUGAGGAUUUGUUUUGAAAUUUGGAUAAUUUUAAAGCAUAUUUUUAUUAUUUUUAUUUAAUUUAUGGGAAUUUUUUAAAAAAUAAUUGUGAAGAUAUGCAAAUGAUUACAAUUUAAAUAUUAUGAAUAAAAAUUGUUUUUAAAAAAAUAUUCGAAAUUAGGAAAAAUUGAAUAAUGGUACAAAUAUAAAAAAAAUUUUGAUUAAAACAAAAGUAUUAUGAAUAAAAAAUUAUUUAAAAAAAUAUUGAAAUGCAGAAAAUUGAUUGUGGACAUUUUAAAAUUUUAAACAAAUUUUUCUGUAAUUGAUUUGUCCGAAAAUAUAUGGGACCACGGAUGUUUUGUGUAAUUACUUGUCGUAGUGCUUCUAUUUAUUUAGAUGUGAUCCAAGCAAGUUCAAGUGUUUGAUGAGACUAUCUACUAAAAAGAAUAUGAUUAUCUUGAUAAAAUAUUCCCUUCAUUCUUCCUCUUUUGUUUCAAGUGCUUGAAGAGCGUAUCUACCGAAACAAAUAUGACUACCUUGAAUAUUCCCUUCAUUCUUCCUCUAUAUUAUUUCAAGUGCUUGAAAAGCAUAUUUACUGAAACGAAUACGAUUACCUUGAUAAAAUUUUCCCUUCAUUCUUCCUCUAUGUUGUUUCAACUGCUUGAAGUGCAUACCGAAACGAAUACGAUUACUUUGAUCAAAUAUUCUCCUCAUUUUUCCUUACGGAAUCUGAUUCCUUUGGGGUUAUGGAUGGGUAUUUUUCAAAUUCCAUUUCUACUCUAAAAUCAAACAUGAGAGCUUCUUCUCAUCCAACUCCUUAUGAAUGAAAUGAUUUAAAAAAAAACAAAAACAAAUUUGUUCUAAAAACCAAGAAUUGUUUUUUAAAACUAAUCUCAAAAAUUAUUUUUUGAAAACGUUUCCAAACAUGCACUAAAAUAAAUGUAUUAUUAAAAUAUGUUUGGUUACCAAAAAUUUUGAGAAAAAAAUGUAAGGAAAAAAAAAUAGAGUGGAAAAAUAGAAGGAAAUAAAAAUAAAGAAAAAUGAAUAAUGAGUUUAAACUCCAUAAAUUAUUUUUACAUGUUUAUUCAAACUCGUUUUAUUUAUUUCCCUCUAUUAUAUAAAGAUUAAAUAAUUAAAAUAUAUAUAUAAAUUCUUGAUCAAAUUUAAUUAUACUUAAUUUUCUUUUAUAUUUUUAUGAUGAAAUCAAAUAUAAAAAAAAUAAUUUCUCAACAUUUUUUUCUUUUCUUAAUACUUCAACCAAACAUGGUCUUAAAAUAUAAGAAUAUUUCCCAAUUUACUAAUUUGAAAAUAUGAAGAUGAAAUCUAAAAAUGUUAAUAGUGGAAGUUUGUGGAUCAAAUUAAAAUAAAAGAAAGAAUGUUAAUGGAAAUGAAUGGGCAUCUUUCUCAUGCGGAAGAAGCCACUCAUUUGCUUAAAAGAGGCCUGCCCAAUGCGAGGCAAGCAACCACUGCCAGUUACGACAAGGGAUUUGUCUUUUCAUGAUUUUUACGUUGGAUUAAAACCCUUUUACGUGGAGUGAAACAUCAUUCUACCUUCCGUGGUUGGCAUCCACUCUCCAACAAUUCAAGCGAUAUCAUCAUUGUACAAGUAUAACCCACUAAAGUGAAAUCAUCAUGGUAAAAAUAUAAAUUAAGAAAAAAAAAACCAAAUUUAACAUCAUGUUUUUUACCUUUCAAAUUAAUAAUAAUAAUAAUAAUAAUAAUAACAAUAAUAAUAAUAAUAGUAAUAAUUUCAAUAUAAAAUAUAAAAACUCUUAACCACUUCCAUUAAAUAAUUAUUUUUAAGUAUCGAAAAAUUAUCAGAAAUCAACUAAUAUCACGUACAAUUUUCAAAUCAUAUUAUUUGUAUCUCAAUUUCAUUUUUUCAGUAUCUUCAUUCAACGACCUAAAUCUUAUUAUGCAUAUUAAAAAUCCAACUUUAAAAUUUGAUCGGUACCAUUAAACACUAAACUUCAAUUCAAACUACUUUACGUAGUUUCACUUGCAUAUUUUUGUAAUAAUAAAUUUCAUGUAAAAAAUUAUUUUUGUUUAAUAUCCUUAAAAAUUACUUUAAUUACAAGAUAAAGGAUGUUUAAUGGACACCCAAAAGUCCCAAGAAAUAAGAAUGAAAAUUUUAUUUAAUUUUUUUUUACCGUUGGUGAUUCAUUUAAAGUGAAAUUAAAAUAAAAAUUUACAUUUUUUUUUGGAAAAUCAAAAUACAAUGAUACUAUGAUACAAUUUUCAUGGGAAUAAUUUUUUUAUUUAUAUCUUUAUUUUUAAUAAGCGAUUCAAAUACAAUAUUCCUUUUUUCUAUGUUCUAAAUAUAUAUUUGAUGCUAAUAAUAUUUUUUUUUUUAAUCUAAUAAAAAAAGGAGAAUGAUUUGCAGGCAUGAAGUGCACAUAUCAUAUUGUCUAAGAAGAGGAGAAUAUGCAUGGCUCAUGAUGACUGUUACGCAUGUAGUUAUUAUUAUUAUUACUAUUAUUAUAUUUUUAUAAUAAUUGCUUAAAAAAAUUCUAAAUAUAAUUAAUAAAAAAAAUUAAAGCUAUGAAUCGAAAUUGAAAAUUUUAUUUAACAUGAAAGGUAGGAUCUGUGGCGGAAGCAGAAAGCAAACGGCGGGAAAAAAGAAAGAAGAAAAAGAAAGCUCCAAAGCAAUCUCCGUUGGACUCAAUUCAAGGAAAAAUAAAAAUAAAAAUAAAAGAAAGACAAAAAGCAAAAGCAAAGAGAGAGAGCGCUACAUCAAAUCUCUGUUUCUCCUGUGAGUUGCUCGAACAAGCCGUGUCCGUACAGAUCUCGGACUGGUUCUUUAUCAGGUAUUUGCAUUUAUUUUGACCUUUUUUUUUUGUUGGUAUUGAAUGCGAGAAUCUUUGUGUUCUGUGUUCUGUUUCUUGAUAGUGAUUUGUGUGAAGAGAUUGCUGUAUUUGUUGAUUGCUUUGAUGUUGUUGGCGAGGUGGAUGAUUGGUUUGUAUGGUGAAGGUUGGGCCGGAAUGAAUGUGUAUUUUGUUUGUUAGUUUACAGUCUUGUUCAUGAAUUGAGUUUUGGUUGUAGAUUAUUAGAAGCCUGUGAAUGUCUGAUUUCUGUCUUUCUUCGUUUGGCUGAUGGGAAAAUGGAAGAAAAUGAUGGAGAUUGGCCUUGGAUUUUUGAGUUUCGAAUUUUUUCAGUAUUUGGAAUCCAACAAAGGAAAGCCUAAUAAAACUACGUUUGAUUUUGAGUAGUUCUGUUUUCUUCUAUUAUACCACAGUUUUAUUAUUUUGUUUCGUUUAUUUGCCUCUAUUUUUCCCGGAAAACAAACAGGGUAAAAUAUGUAGCUUCUCUUCUUCUAUGCAAAAUCAAUAAUUGGAUUGCUGUACUGUAUUGAUCUAACACCAGUGGAAAAAUUGGUUGGAGUUGUGUGCACCUCAAGGAAGGAAGUUAACCCGUAUACAGAGCCAACACGCUUAAGAGUAGUACAAGCGUUAUGGAACCUUUUUCGCAUUAAAGCGAAUUUUGGAACUUUUGAAUGCCUUGAUCAAAUUCAAAUCUCUGUUUAUGCGUAUGUGCAUGUGUGUGCAAAUAAAGGAGUCACCCAUCAAAAGAUUGCACCAAAAACUUGAUAAGCACUAAACAAUCCAAAUAGCAAUGGCGUGCGUGAGUGCUUGCUCUGGACAAUCAUGCCUCAACGGUUCAGAUAAAUCCAUGAAAGUAGGAGAAUAUGCCCAUCUGUAUCAGACAAUGCCUUGUCGUGCAUUGCACGUAUGUACUCUCCCACGAGAUUCUCUGAUAACUGAAGAUGGCUCUUUUGGGGAAUGGUUUCUUUCUGAAAGCUUUUUAGGUCCAACAACUCUACGGGACUUGUUAGUGCUACUAUCACUGUUAUUUGUAGGAAUGAAAGACCUCAUCAUGACCCUAGAAACCCAGCUUGUAGAAUUUGCCUGGUGUAUCAAGGAAGCAAACCGAAUACCAUUUCUUAACAAAAAUAGAUCUUUUAAAGGAAAUUUUAGAUUGAAUACAGGGAGAGCCAUGAUCGAAAGACUUGGCUCUCAACAAGAGUUGAGCUUAAAAAAUUGGGAUUAUUGAGAUUUUGUUGUGUAGGCCUUAGAAAACAGGAUUUAGUCAAGUCCAACCCUGAAGCCAUGCAUUAAGCUUACUUAUUCAUUUUUCAUUUUAUUUUCCCCAUUUCCACAGUGUGGGUUCCAUGACAGGUACUGCCACUGAGGAAAGAUAUUUGUGAUAUGACCUUAUGAUUCGUCAAAAACAUGUCACCAUAUAUAUGUCUUUGUUUUUUAGUUCUGUGCUGCAGAGGUGGGAUCUGGUAACACUUCCUCAUUGAUGUUUGGUAUGGUUUUUCCUAAGUUCCAAAGUUUGCAGUACAUAGAACUCCCAUGCUAAUGAUCAUUUUUGUCAGCAAUGCAGAUAAAGAGAAUCUGGUGAAAUAGAACCUGUCUUCGCCUCACACCAUUUAUGCUCUCUGUGAUGAGGAGUGUUGCCAACAUUCAGGUAUAAAUGGAGAGUGGUGCAAGCAGUGGCAAUGGGCGACAUCCUGAAGGCAUGAAGGAAUCCUGGUUUAGCCAAUUCCGGAACAGUCCAAACCCUUGGAUGGCUAGAUAUGUAUAUGGUUUGAUGUUCCUCAUUACUAAUCUACUAGCAUGGGCCGUUCGGGAUUAUGGCCGUGGUGCCCUGACAGAGAUGGAGAGUAAGAUUUAUCUGAUUCUUUAAUGUCUUGCAGUUUAUAACUUAGUCUGGUGUUUUUAACAACUUCAAAUAAAGGCAUGAAUGCUAAUAGACUCUAAUUUUUAUAGAAAUUUUUUAAAGGUAUAUAAACCAUGUUUUUGUUUCAUGAUUACAAGCCUUGACUUGCCUCCAAGAGGAAGUGAGCUCUUCAUUUGUCAACCAAUUUUUUCAUUCUUCAGGGCACGCCCUGUCUUCCAUGAAAAGUUAACCUUUUUGUUUUGCGUUGCUCCAUAAUAGGUGUUAUUUAUGCUUGAUAUGAAAUAUCCCUGUAGUGUUUAAGCUUUAUCGAGUCAUAUAUGGAUUUUUAUAGGAAUAAAGAAAAGUAAAAACGUGCUUAAUACAUGUGUGAGGCUGAUGGGUCCUUCUGAAAUUCCAUUUGCAAGAGUUUUCAACUUCUGUUACCAUCUGACAUAAUCAUUGCUCUUGUUAUAGAUAGAAUUUAGAAAAACUUGUGUUUGUAGCAAAAUGUGAUGGCGUUUGGACAAGCUGUUAAAUGGCCCCAGACUAAACUCCUUUUCAUCUGCUUUCUGUUUACAUAAAAUAGACAUCUAAAAUGGGUUAUCAGUGAUCAUUUUCCUGGCCUUUAAAAGAUACACCCAGUGGGUUUAGAUUUGGAUUGAACCAGAUGAUUACAUUGUUUUGACAGUCAACCAACCCGGUUUUCAGACUCAUAAAUAACCUGUUUCCAGAUUAUUUUUUUCAAUUAUACCAUUAAAAUAUAGAUGUCAAUCUUACAAUUAAUAUAAGCUGCUAAUACAUUUUUAGCAUGAAUGCAGGACUACAAGGGUGCAAGGGUGUGCGAGAUUGUUUGGGAGCAGAAGGAGUUCUGCGCGUUAGCCUGGGAUGUUUUGUAUCCUUUCAACAAUAAGAUCUACAUGACUACUUGUCUGACAGUUUUGAGGUUUUACAAUUAAAUGGCACAGGCAAUGAGCAGAAUCCCAGAUCAAAGAUCUUCUCUAUAUUUUUUUUCAGAGUAACUUGACUGAAGCACAUUUUCUCUGUAGAAGCAAGAAAUCGGAAAUUCUGCGAAUUGCUCCUAUCCAGAGCAGAUGGAAGCAAUUUGCACACGAAGGAUCUGGGGAUCCUCAAAACCCAGAUAUCAGCAAACCAGAAUUCCAAAUGAAAAGUGUCAGAAUUAAUGUAUUAUCUGAUAAUUGUUCUCAUCUUGCUUGGUAAAAGUGCGUAAAUCACACCUAAUUUUAAAGAGAAGAGUUUGAAACCCCUAUUUCUAGAAAGAAUAAAUUCAAACCGUCUUAUCACUGAUUUUGCUGGAAUGUUAGUCCAAGUUUGCAAUCUAGAACCGAAGUCAUAGGACAUCCCUUGAUCUAUACUGACUGUUUAUUUAAAAGGACUCAAUAAUUAAUGAAUACAUUUGCUCAAAGUAGCUUCAUCUUCCAUUUUAUUUGAUCAGAAUGUGAGCCUUAAUACUAUAUCAGACUUUCUAUUUCAUAAUGUUUCUUUCAACAGCUGGUACAUCCAAGUUGCACAAGCCUAGAGAAUUGUGGCAUUCUGGUUGGUGGUCUGCAAAGAUUAUCUUGUGGGUUGCCUUAAUGAUGCUCCCCUUCUUGGUUCCUUCUGCUUUUAUUCAGCUCUAUGGUUAGUUGACUGCAGUCCUUGAACAAGAUUGCAAUUGUUGUUUUUCUCUUAUCAUUUCAUGUACAUGAUCUUAAACUCGUGUUGGCUUUACAUUUAUUACUUUCAUGCCUCUGAUGCAAUAAUUUUUGGCAGGGGAGAUUGCACAUUUCGGUGCCGGGUAUCAUUACUUCCUGUUAUAAAUUCCUGUCACAGACCAUGUACAAUCUUUUUAGACGUGGUUGUCGUAGAAGUGAAAAUUAUAAGCUUACCUUUCAAGUUCAGUUACAGAAAUUGCUGGGGCUGUGUUUGUGAUAUCUUUCUUUGAAAAUUUAUUACAGGGUCUUUCUCUUAAUUCAGCUAAUAAGCAUAAUCAGCUUCAUUAAAUGGCUGAAUGAUUGUUGUCACUCUGGCAAAUAUGCAGACAGAUGGUAAAAUCCUCCUUAUUCCAACAGAUGCUAAUUCAAAUCAUCUUUUUGUUCUAUUAAAGCCAUAUUGAUUUCAUUAAGACAUUAUAUAUCAAGAUAGUCCCCUUCUUAACAUGAAAUUUCCAAUGUUAAAGGGGGCUCGGAAAAGCUUUCAACAUGGAUAACUUACAAUAAGAUUUACCUUGCAGCCGUAUCCAUGUAAUGUUACUUGCAACUACUGCAUAUGUCAUAUGCAUAAUGGGGAUCAUCUUGAUGUACAUUUGGUACGUACCAGAGCCGUCUUGCCUCCUUAACAUUUUCUUCAUCACCUGGACACUAGUGCUCCUCCAGCUCAUGACUAGUGUCUCUCUCCACCCAAAGGUAAGUUGUAAUUUUCACCAUCCUUUUCACUCUGACAUGGCGACAUAAAUUUGUUAUAGAAUUGUUCUUUUUUCCUGAAACAGGUAGAUGAAAGUUUCUUGACUCCAGGGCUUAUGGGCCUGUAUGUUGUGUUCCUCUGCUGGUGUGCUAUUAGAAGGUAUGAUUUCUAAUUUCUAUUAUUGUAAUCAAAUUUACUGCUUGAUGUUUUUAAAACUGAAUUUCUUACCAAUAUCAGCUUUCCAAUAUAACAUGGUUGGAAAAUAAAAUCUUUCUUUAGUUGCACAUAAACCUUUUGCUCGACUUCUCCAAAUGAUACUAAUAUAAAAAAAUAAAUAGGCAAAAAAGGGAAAAAAGAAAAGAAAAGAUAUGCUGGUGCUAUCAUAUUUGUACUUAUAUCAUAUCUUCUUAGGGACGAAAGCUUAGAUUUAUAUAAUACUUUGCUUCCUUGUACCAACCCAAGAGAGAUCCGCACCAAAUUCAUGUAGUCUAUGUGUUGUCUCAGAAUCUAAAUCCAUGCAUCCACUUGCUCAAAAGAAGCCCAUUCAUUGUAGCUGAAUAGUUACGGUUCCUCUAAAUCAACAAUUAGGUAUCACACAAGCCUGAACAGAACAAUAAAUUUGAGAAACUAAUAGGUCUAAACAAAUAGAACUUGCUUUUGUGAUUACUUUUAUCAGGGCUUCUAGCUGCCUCAACUUUUUCUUUAACUAGUGUCCAUUAUACAUCUUUGUGCUGACAGUGAACCACCAGAGGACAGAUGCAACCAGAAGGUGGAAUCAGCGACCAAAGCAGAUUGGCUUACCAUCAUAGUAAGAUUUGAGAUCUCAGAAAUGAAUUAAGAAUUUUAAAGUACUAAUUAAAUUUCCAAACAAACAUGAAGUCAUCAAAGUCAUGACAGUAUUGUGUGUAAUAAUGCCUCAACCUUCAUUGCAGCCUAGAAGGCUAGAACAUAUUCUUUCCCAAUUUAAUCUAUGGCCAUGCUAAUAUUGUUGACAGGCACUCACAUUGUCUCUAAGUAUCCCUUAUUUCUAAAUGGAAACCAUCUCAAAGUUAUCAUCCUUCAACAUGUUAUUGUACAACAUUAUGCUCAUAGCUUAUCCCAUUGCUAGUAUGUAGGAACUGAUACCUCAUCAUGAAUCCAAACACAACUUUUUUAAUCAUGGCUGCAGCAGGAAAGAUGUCAAAGCUUUUAUUGCACAAUUUCCAUUUUUUUGCCUUGCAUAACUAUAGAUCUCAUUUGGUGACAGAGCUUUAUUGUUGCGCUGCUUGCCAUGGUCAUUGCAACAUUUUCAACAGGCAUUGAUUCCAAAUGCUUUCAGGUAUAUUACACUCAACUACUUUUAUUUGGGUAUCACACUUUUUACCAAACUGUCUUCUGAAAACAACUGUUUCAGUUCAGGAAGGAUGACACACAAGCCGAAGAUGAUGUUCCCUAUGGUUAUGGCUUCUUCCACUUUGUUUUUGCCACCGGAGCCAUGUAUUUUUCAAUGCUAUUGAUUGGUUGGAAUACUCAUCAUUCCAUAAGAAAGUAAGUCUCCAUAUCUCUCAAAAUACUUCCAUUUGUUUUGUACUUUUUAUAGGACACUUGAAAUUAAGAUCUGCCAAAAUGGAUAGUUAAAGCAACCCCUCCAAAAGAAUGUAACUAAAGAUUUUCUCAACCUUUUCCUUGAGGAAUUUGCACUACCAAUUUUCAACUGAUUGGAUUGGGGUCAAGGUUUCCUGGAGUUGGUUUUUGAGUUGAACUUCUCAUGAGCAUAAUCAUUGAUGCCUUCAUAUCCAAAACUUUUUUCUUUAUUGAAUUAUCAGUCCUUGCAACCAACUAUACAGCACACUAGACACUGAUGUAUAACGACAGGUUUAAUCAUGCUGAAUAGAUAGAAAUGUCAGUCUUAGGUGAAAUAAAACUGUAAUAGAACUCAGUUUCACUUAGCAAAUUCCCUUGUCUGCUUGUUUCUCAACAGAAAUUCAAUUAUGGUUAAGUUCCUAAAGGAUGGCCUUUGCUCCAAGCACCUCUGCUCAGCUGACCACCAAUGGAGUGGCCUUCUGAUUAUGCUCUAUGUGAUUAUCUUUGAGUUCCAGAGCAGGACCAGCCUAUUUAUGUUGAAAACCAGGACUAAUGUUUCUUCUCUUAUAGACUUUAAAGUGAUUUCAAGGAGGGCAUAUACCAAUCUUAUCACAUAAUUCAUCUAGAAAUAGAAUUCUUUUAUGACUAAAGUGUGCUAUCGGCCAAUAAAUCUUAACAAUCACCAUUAUGACAUCAAGUAUGUUUUUUUCUGAGAAGCAGUAAAAAAAAAUAAUUCUACCACCCUUUUGUAAGAAAAUAAUUUAACUUCUUUGCAGGUGGACAAUUGAUGUUGGCUGGACGAGUACUUGGGUUAGAAUAGUGAACGAAUGGCUGGCAGCCUGUGUAUACCGUAAGUAUCUCAGGAAUAGGAUUGUAUUAUGGUCAUUUUGAUUACUUGAUAUCUCUUAGUUAUGUAACAAUUAAACCAGCUAACAAUAUGACCUUGCAGUAUGGAUGCUUGUGGCUCCGAUCAUAUGGAAAAGCAGACAAACAGGCGAAUCUACAUGACCAUUUCAAAAUAUCUUUAGUACCCAAUUCAUUCGAUAGUUCUUGUGGCAGUCCUCUUCCUCGAGCAGAUGGUGGAAGAAGAGGCCGCGUCUGCACACGCACAAGAAUUUUAGCAGCAGCAACUAGACCUUUGGUGACCUGAUUCAUUUCAUUUCUAAAUGAAACAAAAUAUAUAGUCCUCCAAGCCCAGCAUCAGUUAAACAAAAGAAAGAAAGAAAGUAUAUCCAGUUCUCUAAAUUUUCCAUUAAUUGCAGCAUACCAUCUGUAGAUAUAUUUACGAGCAUGGCAGGGCGAAGAUUUUGUGAUUUCAUAACCAUCAAUGGAAUAACAGUUUCUGGGUUGAACUAAUAUUCAAUUGUGCACUCUACCUGGUACGGCCAUUGAUGUUUCUUCAAGGUCCACUGCUUAGAUUUAAACGUUUGAUUCAUAAUUCAAAUGUGUGAUUUUGCCUCUUAUACUUUUCAGCUCGACAUGUGGUUGCCUAAACAAUGCGUGUUUUUUAUUAUCUUCCAAUACCUCUCCUCUUGUUUUUGGAACUUUAGCUUUGCCUGAGGCAAAAGGUUAUAAGAAGUGGCAUCUCUUUUGGCUUGCAGAAGAAAAAGCGUAGCUCACAAAAUAUGAGAACUGGAAGUAUCUUUUUCAGAAGAGAGAAAAUGUUUUUAUGGAGAUUAAUUUUCAGAUUUUUUUUUUUUUAAACUUCAAAAUUUACUUUUUCUGCACGUUCUAAAAACAGACAUGACUCAGAACGCAGCUGACAGGAAAAUUAAUCAGAAAAAUUAUUAAUCUUUUUUACUAAAUCUGUAAAGAUAAAAUUUUUAAAAAUUAUGGAUAAACAAAAAAAAAAUACUAAUAAUAAUAAGAGGGAGAAAAAUAAAAGAGCAUCACAGAUUCCGGGACACACCUGUUUGCAGUGAAACACCUAAUUCCCCUCCGUUCAGCUGCUGCGGAGAUCAGGAAAGUAAAAGUUUUGUUUUAUAAAGGUAAAUUGCCCCGACAGCUAAGGUAUUGUUUGGUUUUCUAACCUUUUUACUAAAAGUUAUUUGUUUUCAUAUCAUUUGUAUUUUUGCUUUUGGUUUAUUUCAUUAUUUAUUUUUAAAAUUUUUUUAUUGAAUAGAAAAAAUUAAAAUAUUUAAUCUUUUUCUAUUAGAGUAAACAUAAUUAUUUUUUCUUACUUUUUAAUGCUUAAUAAAAAUAAAAUAUUUAAAAGACAAAUAAUUUGAAGCUUAAAUAUCAUUUAGUAUUAUUUUAUUUUAAUUUCUAUUUAGAAUUAAAUAAAAAAUUUAAAAAAACACGACCAAGAAAUGAAAAAUUAGAUUCAAGAUUUUGAUAUUCCAUAUUUUUUCUCGCCUAUAUUCUUUUUGCUUCACCGUGGAAAGAAAGACAAAAAUGUUAAAAAAAGCAUUUGUUUUGUCACUAAAAAGAUGGAAUAAAAUAGACUACAAUUAAAAUUAGUUAAGAUUUUUAAUCUUUAAUUUUUUUAAAAAAUAAUAAUUUAUAAACUUUAAACUUUUUUUCCCUCUAUUUUGUCACUCAAAUAGAAAGGAUGACCCAUUCGAACUACUUCUUCGUACUUAUAAAUUGCGUGCAAGUGUCAAGCGUGGCCUCAAACUACAAGUACAAGCUGCAGAUGUGGGGAAAUGGUUAGGAAAAACCUGUAAAAAAAAAAACCAAAUGACUAAUGCUUGGAAUUUUUCCCUUAUCCCUCGUAAUAUUUUGUCCAAUCUCAACACAAAUAGCUGGGAAUUACCCAAGUUCCGUCAACCGAUUAAGCAACAAAAUCUUCAUUGUUGUUGUUCUUCCUACAUGUAUGAAUCCCAGGUUUAUUACCAAAAUGACCUCUGCAGUAAUGUUUGGUGGGUGAGUAUGUUAGUCACUUCUGUUUUCGGCAACACAUAAACCUAUCAGAACAUGGAAAAAAGCUUGAAAACAUGGCAUAAAGGCUAAAAUCCAAAUACUAUCUUAUUCAAAACAAAAAUCAUAUCAACAUCAAUAUGAAUAGCAUGUAAAGUAUGCUCUACCAAAAGGUAUGCUUCGAAAAAAUUUUAAAAAAGAAAAAAAUAAUUGUGCAGACUCGAAACAAGAACUCGCCAUAACAAUGGAGAGACAUCCCCCUAUGGCAGCAGGCAAAGCACAGAUCACCACAUAGGAAUACCCAUUCCCAAACCUAUGAAAGACAAUGGCUGCCUAAAUAAGACUUGAUUCCCUCAGAGGUGUCCAUCCCUCUUUCAAAUCCCCUCUAUUUUGGCCUACCUUUCUUACAGGAUAAAACUGGUUUUACACGAGAAUAGACAUUUGACUAUUACAGGUUACAGGUAUGGACACACAACUUCAUUUGGCUGCAACAUCUUACUAAAUCUACAAGAACAAUGAACCCAAAAAUUUCCAUCCAACAGAUUACUUAACAGAGAGCAUCAAGAUGAUGCUCACCCUAAAAUGGGGUCCAAAAGGCUUCGGUCUUCAUAUUUAUCCAAAUGGAUUUCCUCCAACAGAAGAAAGCUUAUCUAAGGCAGCAGGUGCAGAGGAUCUUCCACCAAUUAGAUGAUUUGGAUUCAAAGAGCUAAAAGCAGCAUCCUCACUGCCAAAGCUUCCCACUCCUUGAUGACUGCAAAGGAGAUUCAAAAGGCUCAAUAAGUUCCACACAAAGGUAAUACUAAUGCAAAUAUAGAUUAGGCAAACUGAUGCCCAUAAAACUUCGAAAUAAAUAUAAGUUGCUAAUAGAUGAAAUUUAUAAUUCAGUAAUGCAGAACCUUACUAAAAAUGUGGGUAAAAGAAAUCAAAAUUGUAAAAAUGAAAAUGCAGUUACCUGGAAGGUGGAAUGGCACCAGGUACUUGUUGCCCCAUGUAUGCUCCUGACAUUUUUGAAGCAAAAGGCAGAACAUAUAAAUAUCAAAUAAAGCAAGCGAGGGGAAAAAGGUAGGCAAGAAAAAAAUCAUGAUAUGGUUUUACUUGGAGGCAUUCCCGACGCAUAAGGCGGUACUUGUGGAGGCAUUCCCGACACAUAAGGUGGUGCUUGUGGAGGCAUUGCCAAUGGAUAUAAUGAUGACUGGGGUGGUGUCCAUGUUGAUUGAGUACCAGCACUGGAAGAAUGCAGCAAGCCCAUAGAAGGGGGCAUAUUUGGUAGACUCCCUUGCAAGGACGCCAUGGAAGGAAACUAUAUCACCAGGAACAUGUAAAAAGCAUUAGAACAAGAUUUCAUGAUCAACAGCUGAAUUGCUCAAGAACAUGUUUAGCUUAAAGAUCAAAUAUGAGCAAAAAUUUGAUGCUUCAAGAUUUAGAUAACUCAUGCAUCAAGGGCGUUAGUACUCAACAAACGGAACAAAAUAAAAAGUUUUAUUUUUUUAAAAGCACCAAAAUAAGUUACUAUGAGCACCCUUUAGUUUUUAGCAAUACUCAAGUGGGGCAAUCACAAGGCAAAUUCGACAUUUCAUUUUCUGUCAGUGAAAUGCAUGGAUUGAACAUGCAUAAAGGGCAUUGUUAAUUUACUUCUCUUUAACACUAGUUAUAACUGAUCACUUAGUCAAAGUAACACCAAGGAAGACAAGAUCAGAGAUCAAGCACAUAUAUCUAUUUGAAUGAAUUUGAUUCACUUACUGUUGGAGCUUGAGCCGGAGGUGGUUCAUUGUUGAGAUCAAAUGGGUUUGUUGAUUUUGAUGAAUGUGAGAAUGUUGAUGGCAAUGGCUGCAACAACAAACCCCUAUUAUACAGAGCAACUUUUCAUGCAGUAAUCCAAGUAAUUGGUGUGAAUCAAAAUUAAUUCAGUAACAAAAUCAUAUUGGAUUGUGAAAGAUACCGCUGCAGUAUUAUAUUGCAGGUGGAACCCCAUGCCAUGGGGUGGACCAGUUUGCCAACCUGGAACUUGCAUAGAGAUGGGUUGAUAGGUUGCAGCGAAAAGAUCCUGCAGAUGAUUCAUGAUUUACUAUGAGAUACAAAACAGAGAUAACACCAGAAUACAUCCUAGCUGGAGACCAAGAAAGAAUACAUUACCAAUGGCAAUUCUUUUCUUCCAGCUGGUUUUACUUCCACAGGGAGAGGUGGUGAUGAAAGACUAGAAGCAACCACCUGAGGUUUUGAGACAGUUUGAGGUGCUUGUGCUGCAGGAGCACUAAAAGGCCCUUGUGUAUUUGGCAAAAGUGGUGAAUUCCACUGCUGUGAAUAUGAAGCAACAGAAUGGAUUAGUACUAUAUGCAUUGCAGAAUACUGCAACAAGACACUAAACCAUGAGGCCCACCUGAUUGGUUGAAGUUCCACCAACUGAUGGAGCAAAUUGUUGAGCGAUAGACUGACUUCCAGUAUCAGGGAAUAAAGAAUGUUGUUGAUACUGCAUGCUUGGCCAUUGUCCUGCACCAGUAACUUUGACAAAGGAAUUACCAUCAUGCCCAUGUAACAUUGGUGUCAAUCCAGGAGCAGCUGCAGCGGCAGCAGCUGGAGGAAAUGCAGCAAAAGUAUUGACUGGUGCAGGAGCACCACCAAGAAACGGUGACGUAGGGAUGGGCCGUACUGGUGGAAAUAGGGAAUCACCACUCAUUGGCAACACUGACACAUUGCCCACUGGUACAGCUGUUGGAGCACCACCACUAUUGGGUACUCCUGAUCCGUGCCCAGGAACAGAUGCUGGAACUGACAAUUGUGAAAGUACUGUUUCCAGGGCAUUCACAUUUGAAGGAGCUUGGGAUACUUUUGCUUCUGUGGCAAAAUCAAAAGAGGCCCAGUUAUCAUUGGAUGAACUUAUCGGUUGUGCGAUGGUUUGAACUGGUGGUUGUUGUGUUUGUGGCACUGUUGCAGCAACAGGAGGUUCAGGAUCAGCAUCAAAAUCAAUUAAGAUUCCUGAAUUCUCCCUUUUUAGUUCCCCUGGAUUUCCAUUAGAGGAUCCCAAGCUACUGGAUGAAGCGGUUCUCUGCAAUUGGAGAUGUUCAUGUGAUAAGUUCAUGGAUUCUAAAUUAACAGAGCCUAAGCUGCAAAAUUUUCAGCACAUGGAGUUGAAACAAGUGCAAUCACAGAAUAGCUAGCAUUUGAAGUCAAACAGGAUGAGGAGACAAACAAUCUGCAAUUUUCACAUCUUCACCUGUUUACUCCAUCAGAGGAUUACAAGCUUGAGCAAGCUUACUUCAAACACAAUACCAAAGCAUUAUUGAAGGUAAAAUAAGUGAUGAGUGGAAUGCAAACUUAUCCUGCUUUCAAUCAGCAGUAAAAGUCAAUCAUCAUGAUGUGUGUUGAUUGAAGCCACCUAUUAUGGUAUGGGUAUGUAUGCUUGGUUAGAUAAACAGCAUCUUUAGAGUUGAGUUUAUCCAGUCAAAGUUAGUUACUAUAAAAAGAUUAAAGAUCAUGCUCACCUAACAGAACUAUAAAGCUAUGGUCUUGACCUAAAAAAGUUUCAAAGAUGGAAACUAAAUGGCACAAAGAGAACUCAAUUAACUGAGCAGGUCUGCAGGUUUUUGUUAGAUUACCAAGUCUGUACUUACACUGUUUGGAAGAAUCCCAUUACAAGGCUUUCCCAAACAGUUUAAGGGAAAUACAUCACAUGUUAACCUAAUAAAUAAUAUAUGAAAUACCUGGUUUUAACUUCAAAUUAUCACAGAUAGGUAAUAGCAAUCAAUGCAAAGUCAAUGUGCAGCUCGGUUGUAUGGAUAGUUGUUAAUUACACACUGAAUCAUCUUCAACAGAACAACUAACUUCUAGGAGAGUAUAUCACCAGGCAAUUACAAUCAAACAGUACAAAACAACUAACAUAACUAGAAUUUCAGUUGUCAAGCACGAUAGGUUUAAUUGAACAGAAGCCUCACCUGCGUACGUGCAAAACCAUCACCGACCCUGCCACCAUUGGCCUUUGGAGGUUCAAUAACCCGUAAGGGUGAUACAUUAUCCCCUAAAAUCUCUCUAACAGGGCGUACCAUUGGAGGACUGGAUGCAUCCAGAUCCUUCUGAUGGUCAGGUGACCUGCCUUCCCGAUUAGUUUCUCUAUCAGAUUUCCUUCCAUUCCCAAAUCUAUCCUCACGACGCCAAUCAUUAACUAUCUCAGGACGAACAGGACUUCUCCUAUAAUCACCGUGCUGCCUAUUUUCUAAAUCACUUCCUGGACUUCUUCUUCCAUCAUAGCCAUAUCUAAAAUUUUUGUCAUCACUUCUUCCACCAGGACUACGCUGAUCACUGUAACGACGAUCAUAUGAAUCUUCAUAUGGUGGGCUUCGUGAUCCACCCUGAUAGUUGUCCAUCUUUCUGUUUUCAUAAGGUUCCUCCUUGUCACCCUGUAUGAUAUGCAAAUGCACCUUUAAACAAAUAAAAACCACUAUAGUUGGCAGAUUCAAAAAGCUUUAAGAAAAUUCUAUCACUGUACUAUGAUACCACAAAGAAUUGUUAAAAGAGCAAAACAUGUUAAAUGCAUUUUCAGUAAUAUACUUUUUCCAUAGACAAGGUGCAUUUUCUCUAAAAUUCUUCAAAUCAAAAUCUCAAGGAAAGAGAAAAUGUUCACUGUUUCUCUUUGGGAAGUGGUUGCUGGAUCUUACCAUCUUCACCCUUGGUGGUUUGUCAAAGCUUCUCUCACCACUAUAUCUUCUAUCCACAUAAACAUGCUUGAUGAAGUCCCGAAGUCUCUCAAUAUUACUGGAUACCAACAUGUGAAUCAGAGCUGCAUUCAUAUGGAGAUAAAGAACAAAACAAAACAUGAUUGAGUCUUAACCUGCUAUCAGGGAAAGAAUGACGCUGCGGAUCCCAUUCCUUAAAAUAGAAUUCCUUCACACGCUGCAAAUAUGACAGAGAAACAGAAAAUAGCACAUGAGAAAAAUGAGAAGGUUGUAAGGCAGAACCUUGUGGGAGAUUGCAUGUCUACCUCAUUUCCCCCUCGUUGAAGAGAGCUGACUUCUUGAGAAGUAAAUUUUGCCAUUGAUACUGACUUCACUCGAUGUGUGAACUCUCGACUGGAAAGUAGAGAUUUUUAAAUAAGAACUUUAGUAAAGAAGACUGUUUAUUAAGUGCUAACUAGAGUUUAUUGCAUUAUAGCCUUAUAGGAUCCUCUCCCUCUCUCUCUCUCUCUCUCUCACCCACACACACACACUCACACUCACACACACAUGCGUGCAUGAACACAUAUAUAAACAGAAAUCUGGUAAUUUUACAAUCAGAAUCUUAGACAUAAGCCAAAAUGUGCAAUUGAAAAGAGAGCUAGAGGGAGGUGCAUGUCACAAAACACAUAAGCAAUUUAGCACUUACUGUAUCCCACUACAAGUUGUGCAAACAAAUGUCCAGAAAUUUGUGCACACGUAUUGCGGUCCCUGUUUGGAAGGAAAAAAUUAGCCUUCAUAUCAUAGACUAUAUUUCAUCUUUCCAAGUUAAUGAAGAAUGUAGUUGGUGAGCUCUUUGGACUACAAAAUUUAUUAAAUCAAUACCAUUAUCAGUUUUAUUACUUUAAAACAAUGAUGCAGGAGAAAACAAAUACGCACAAACUGAAAUAAAUCAACAAUCAAGCAGAAAGUUUGCAAACUGUGGUUUGUUAACUUUUCAUAAUACAAAAGAAGUGGGGAACCCCUUAAUUUUAGAAUCAUUAAAAAGUUAGCUUUUAAAAACAGAAAUUAAUUUGGAAAUUAGCUUUCAGAAAUUGUCAAGAUUUCCAUUAACUGCAAUCCUUGAUAAUGGAACCCUAGGUGUAGUGAUCUUUUUAGUAUAUUCCUUGUAAUUAAAGGGAUCUCUAAACUUCCGAAUUCAAGUUGUAAUCCUAAGUAGAGUCUUUUGAGAGUAUUUAUUCUGGAAGAAUGAAAUGAUUGUUGCCUAUAAGUGGUCAUUAAAAUCCCUGUCUAUGGCACAUAUGCAACUACAUGAUUCUAAAGGAAAGUAAGGACUGAAGAGAAUUCUUUUAAUGAUUUCUAGACUUCAUGAAAUAAAUGCCUUGGGUUUGAGUGGCCUCCAAGUUUAGGACGACUCUUCUAUAUUGCUUUAGAUUAGAAACACACUAGCCCUGAAGAUAUAGAAACCCAUCUGACGUAUGCUAAAGAUCCUCCUCCAACCAUAAUGCUGACUUACUAGCCAAAAGGAGGUGGCUACGUGGUGGACUCAGGGGUCAGUUUUAUCCCCCUUGAACUUGAAUAUGUUGUUUUCCAGUUUUUCAUCUUGUUGAUCUUUUCCUUUUUGGUUCUACAAGGAUUCCACUUGUUUACCCUUGUAAAUCAUUGAUUUGUUAGUAAUAAUUUUGGUUUCUGCUUUAUUUAUGAAAGAAAAAUUAAGGAUUACCAAUUUUACUACUUCAACCCUGUUAUAAGAUGUAACAUAAACAUGUUACCAAAAAAUUUAAAAGAGAGAGAGAGAAGCAAGAGUCCAGUUAGGAGCAAUGAAUCAUUUAGGAAUUUCAUCUUAUUUUCUUUUCUUACCUCAAAAACUCACAAAUCCUUAUCUCAGUAUCCUUAAAAAGUUAUCACAUAAUGAUUUCCACAAAUUUAGCAUUCUGAAAUUGAAGGGAGUUCCUUUUGUUAAGAUUUAUGUGCCUCUUUCUGGAACCCAAGGAGUCAUUAAUAAAGCCCCAGUCACUAUAGCAAUCUCUAUAAGUUUGGAUGCUAGCAUCAGUUUUCAUUCCAAGUGAAGUGUAACUUAGAAAAUAUGGUAGGUUAGAACAUUUCAUCACUCCAAUUUUCACAAACUAUCACAACCCAUGUAUUAGUGUGUAAGCAAGUACAGAGUCUUUUAAAAGAGUAGCGAAAAGUUGUUAUUUAUUAUUAUCAUUUUUCUGAAACUCAAAUUAAAAAGCACCUAAAAAGGAGGGGAUGCAACUCACACACAUAGAUAGAAAAUGACAAAGGCCACAAAACUACAACUGCUUCUCAAUCCCCACCUAAACAAAUAUAAUUAUUAAUUUUUAUCAACAUCUUAAACUUUUAUUUUGUGUUUAUUUCACUUGCUCUUGGUACUCUGGCUUUCCUAAUAUUAGUAUUCCUCUACAAUUUUUUUGGCAUUACUGUGUUACUUUCGAUCACUUCAGCUGACACACCAUAACUUAUCAUUGCCAGAUGAAAAGCCUCAGCUCCAUUGCCUUGGCCAUAAUAUGACAGCAUUUAAAUUAUUAUAAUCAACAACUCAUCAGAUCUAAUAAAAUUUAUCUAAAAUUUGACGCUAACUUCAAUAACAUUAUGCUAAAUGGUUUCAUGCUUCACAAUUCCAUCAACCCACCAUGAAACACAGAAAUGCAACUCUACACCCACAUAACUCUGACACUUAAGUUCAUAUAGCGAAGAGCGGAUUUAUAAUUAAAUAAGCCAAGAACAAACAGAAAGGCUAUAAUUUACUUACCAGACUGUUGCAGUUAAUACAUCUGCGAUUCUCAGGAAGUUUCAAAAGACCCCGAAUAAUUCUCUCAUUUUUUUCAUCUUCCUUCAUUCUAUUCGCCAUUUUCACUCCCUACGGCAAUUAGAAAUCCUGAAGAAAAAAAAAAAAAAAAAAAAAACUAAGUUUGAAAGUUUGAAAAGGUACAAGAGAAGAACAUAGAGUCCAAUCCACAAGAAUUUAGUCCAAUGGGAAUUAUCGAUCAAAACACAAAUUAGGAGUUUGGUUGCGAAGAAAAGGCAUAACAAAAAAAUAAAAAACCGUUGAAAGUUCGAUUUCUCCGCAAUCAAAUAUAAUGUAAAUUUCGGAACCUCCGUUCGGUUGCCGACAAAACUGAGAAAAAGAAAACCAAACAAAACUGCACACUUCAAGGUCUGACACAGUUUUGGUUUCCAGAAAAACGAAAGGGAAAAAAAAUCACCUCAACCGAGUCAUAUAAUUGCAUUAGUGUCAACCAGUGUAGGGUUCGGCCCCCUCGAAACGAAAUCAAUAAAAAACAUAUGAUCAAACCUCAAAAUUCAAUGUUAAUUGCCUACAUUCUCCAACAACCAAACAAUUUCGCACAAAUUACACGAAACAGAUCAAAAUUAAGUUCCAGAAACCACAGAUCUGAAAAAUCAGAAUGCGAUACGAGCGGGAUUCGACCAAGGAGAGUGUUUGGAACCCUAGAAAAUUACCUUCAAAAUAAAAGAAGAAGAAGAAGAAGAAGAAGAAGAAGAAGAAGAGGAAGAAGAAGAAAUGACUCACUCAAUAUUACACAAUUCGCAAUGUUCGACUUCUGCAGGCUUGAGCUGAUUCUAAAGAGAUCACGCGCUGCGAUGUGCCGCCGCCGCAGAGAAUUGCAGAUCUCCUACAGUUCGGAACGACGGCUUGGACAGCUACACAAAGCCUCUGCCUUUGUAAGAAAUGUAGAGCAAGAAAGUUACAGCAGGAGAGAGAAAGAGAGAGGGAGGUGGCUGGGGUAUUUUCUGGUGUUCUCGGACACAGAGAGUUCCCCGUGUCGGCAGGGAGUCACCCUUUUUGACGGUCCUGGGCCUCCUGGCCUUUCUGAUGGAAAUUUUAAGAGGGAAUGAUCGCUUGUGGCGACUGCGUUACUGAUUAAUUAUCCUCAUAUUUUCUUUGUUAAAAAUAGGUCUGAAUUUUAGACCCUGAUUUUUAGUCUAGAAUUGAGGGCAGUUUGGAUUUUUCAUUCCUAUUUCGGGCCAAAAGCAAAUUUGUUUAGAUUUGCUGACAUGGAAUAUUACCUAAUUUAAUUUUCGUAAAAUUAUCUAAUACAUUUUUCACUCGGAAUCCCAAUUGUGUAUUUCUCAUUUGAAAUGAAAUUUAUAAAUAUUUUUUAGUUUUUCUAUCUUAUUUCGAAAAUUAUUUGAAAAGUUCAACAAAUUCAUAUUUUUAUUUUAAAAAUAAAAAAAUAAUAAUAAUAAUUUUUAGAUAAAAAUAUGUGAUAUUCCGUAAGAAAGUUUUUGACAUUAUAUAAAUAUAAGUCUCUUCUAAUCCUAUAUAAUAUUUUAUAAAUCAGUGAAAUUUUUUUUAACUCGGAACAAAUAAUAUCUAUAUGAUUAAAUUAUGAAUUAUGAUAAAUAUCAAAGUCAAUACUCAACCCACCCUAGGAGGGUUUAUUUGAUCCUAGGUGUUUGUCAGUUUGAUUUCGACCCUAUGAAAAUAUUUAUACAAUUAAGUGUAAAUAGUUAUAAAUAUACAUUUUUUUUUAAUUAGAUAUAUUUUACCUUCAAAUAAAAAAAACUCUUAUAAGUAAACCGACACAACUUUGUGUUUUGAAAAAGGCAUUUAUAAAAUCUUAAAUGAAUUAAAUUUUGAAUUGUAAAUUUUAUUUCCUUUUUUUCCUCCACUUCAUUCACUCUUUAUUUACUCCAAAAAAAUCCAUUGCUAAUAAUAUUACAAAAAUAGGCACUCACCAUUUAAUAAAUUCCCUUUGGUGCUCCAAAUUAAGGGAAAAAAAUGGGGGCCACUAUUUGCAAAAUAAACAAAGGCAUUGACAGCUAACGGUGACGCCGUGGUCUGAAUCAGCGGAAUCUUCAAAGAACCAAUCAUGCGAUGGUGUGCCUUUAAGAUCCUACCAGGCAUCACGUGGAGUGUAGUUGUAAAAUUUUAAUCUUCACGUUAGGUUAAGAUAGAUGCAGUCUAUCCUUCCCGUCCCAAGGGACUUUUCUCAAUAGUAUAGUAAUUUAAAAAAGUUAUUCUUCAAUUACUGUAGUGGAAGAAGUUAUUACAAAUAUAGGGUAGUUUUUGCCACAUAGGAGAGAGGAGAGAGGGUAAGAGAGAGGAGAGAGGUGAGAGGAAAGAGGAGAUAGGAGAGAGGAGAGAGGAGAGAGGGUGAAUGGGUAAAAUUUUUUAAAAAAGGGAACUCGUCUCUUGAAGAGACGAGUUCCAUGAAAAAAAAUAUAUAUAUAAUUUUAAAAAAAUUCUCAAAUUAAAAAAAAAAAAAAUUGGAACUAAAGGCUUGAGACGAGUUCCCAUGGGAAAAAUAUAUAUUAUUUAUUUAAAAUAUAUUUUUUAUUUAAAAAAAAUCCCAAAAAAAAUAAAAAAUAAAAUUUCUAAAGGGAACUCGUCUCUUCAAGAGACGAGUUCCUUGGGAAAAAAAAUAUUUUUUUAAAAAAAUAUAUUUUUUAUUUUAAAAAAUCCCAAAUUAAAAAAAAAAACGCAAUUCCAAAAGGAACUCGUCUCUUUAAAAAUAUAUAUAUUUAAAAAAAAAAUUUAUUUUUUUUUUUAAAAUAUAUUUUUUAUUUUAAAAAAUCCCAAAUAAAAAAAAACAAUUCCAAAAGGGAACUCGUCAUAUUAAAAAAAAAAAAAAAUAUUUUUUUAAAAAAAUAUAUAUAUUUAAAAAAAAAAAAAUUCAGAGUUACUUUAGGAAAAAAAAAAUUUUUUUUUUUAAAUAUAUUUUUUAUUUUAAAAAAUCCCAAAUUAAAAAAAAAACACAAUUCCAAAGGGAACUCGUCUCUUGAAGAGACGAGUUCCCAUGUAAAAAAAAAAUAUUUUUUUUAAAUAUAUAUAUUAAAAAAAAAAAAACAAUUCCCCAAAAUUCCCAAAGGAACUCGUCUCUUGAUAAAAAAAAAAAUUUUUUUUUUUAANNNNNNNNNNNNNNNNNNNNNNNNNNNNNNNNNNNNNNNNNNNNNNNNNNNNNNNNNNNNNNNNNNNNNNNNNNNNNNNNNNNNNNNNNNNNNNNNNNNNAAAAAAAAAUUUUUUUUUUUAAAAAUUUUUUUUUUUUUUAAAAACCCACAAUUAAAAAAAAAAACCAUUUCCAAAGGAGACCUUUUUUUUAAAAAGAGAAUUUCCCCUUUAAAAAAAAAAUUUUUUUUUUAAAAAUUUUUUUUAAAAAAAAAAAAAAAAUUCCCCAAAAUUCCAAAAGGAAAUUUUUUUUUGUAAAAAAAAAUUUUUUUUUUUUAAAUUUAAUUUUUUAAAAAAAAAAUUUAGGGUUCCCUUUAGGAAAAAAAAAAAUUUUUUAAAAAAAUUUUUUUUUUUUUUUAAAAAAUCCCAAAUUAAAAAAAAAAAAAAAAAAAAAAAAACAAUUCCAAAGGAACUCGUUUCUUGAAGAGACGAGUUCCCUUGUAAAAAAAAAAUUUUUUUUUUUAAAUAUUUUUUUUAAAAAAAAAAAAAAAAAAAAAAAAAACGAUUCCUCAAAAUUCCUAAAAGGAACUCGUCUCUUCAAGAGACGAGUUCCCAUGUAAAAAAAAAAAAUUAAAAAAAAUAUAUAUAUAUAUUUAAAAAAAUAAAAAUUCAGAGUUCCCUUUAGGAAAAAAAUAAUUUUUUUAAAAAAUAUAUUUUUUAUUUUAAAAAAUCCCAAAUUAAAAAAAAAAAAAAAAAAAAAAAAAACAAUUCCAAAGGGAACUCGUCUCUUCAAGAGACGAGUUCCCUUGUAAAAAAAAAAUUAUUUUUUUUAAAUAUAUAUAUUAAAAAAAAAAAAAAAAAACAAAUCCUCAAAAUUCCUAAAGGAACUCGUCUCUUCAAGAGACGAGUUCCCAUGUAAAAAAAAAAAAUUUAAAAAAAAUAUAUAUAUAUAUUUAAAAAAAUAAAAAUUUAGAGUUCCCUUUAGGAAAAAAAAUAANNNNNNNNNNNNNNNNNNNNNNNNNNNNNNNNNNNNNNNNNNNNNNNNNNNNNNNNNNNNNNNNNNNNNNNNNNNNNNNNNNNNNNNNNNNNNNNNNNNNUUUUUGGGGGGGGGGGUUCCCCGUGAAAAAAAAAUUUUUUUUUUUAAUUUUUUUUUUUAAAAAAAAAAAAAAAAAAAAAAAAAAAAAAACCAAUUCCUCAAAAUUCCUAAAGGGAACUCGUUUUUUCAGGGGGGGGGUUCCCCUGUAAAAAAAAUAUAUAUUUUUAAAAAAAAAAAUUCGGGGUUCCCCUUGGGGAAAAAAAUAAUUUUUUUAAAAAAUAUUUUUUUUUUUUUAAAAAAUCCCCAAUUUAAAAAAAAAAAAAAAAAAAAAAAAAAAAAAAAAAAAACACAAUUCCAAAGGGAACUCGUCUCUUAAAAAUAUUUUUUUUUUUUAAAAUAUAUAUUUAAAAAAAAAUAUAUUUUUUUUACAUGGGAACUCGUCUCUUAUUUUUUUUUUCCAUAGGAACUCGUCUCUUCAAUAGACGAGUUCCCUUGAUGAAUUGUUUUUUUUUUUUUUUUAAAUAUUUUUUUUAAAAAAAAAUUUGUUUUUACAUGGGAACUCAUCUUAAAGAGACGAGUUCCUUUGAGGAAUUGUUUUUUUAUUUUAAUAUAUAUAUUUUAAAAUAAAAAAUAUUUUUAAGAGACGAGUUCUUUUGGAAUUGUGUUUUUUUUUUUUUUUAAUUUGGGAUUUUUUAAAUUUUUUUAAAAAAUAAUUUUUUUUCCUAAAGGGAAUUCUGAAUUUUUAUUUUUUUAAAUAUAUAUAUUUUAAAAAAAAAAAAUUUUUUUUUACAUGGGAACUCGUCUCUUGAAGAGACGAGUUCCUUUAGGAAUUUUUUUUUUUUUUUUUUUUAUUUUUUUUUUUUAUUUUUUAAAUUUGGGAUUUUUUAAAAUAAAAAAUAUAUUUUUUAAAAAAAUUCUUUUUUUUCCUAAAGGGAACUCUGAUUUUUUUUUUAAAAUAUAUAUAUUUUUUAAAAAAAAUAUAUAUUUUUUUACAUGGGAACUCGUCUCUUGAAGAGACGAGUUCCCUUUGGAAUUGUGUUUUUCUUUUUUUUUUUUUUUUUUUUUAAUUUGGGAUUUUUUAAAAUAAAAAAUAUUUUUUUUUUCCUAAAGGGAACUCUGAAUUUUUUUUUAAAUAUAUAUAUUUUUUUUAAAAAAAUAUUUUUUUUUGUUUUUUUUUUUAAUUUGGGAUUUUUUAAAAUAAAAAAUAUUUUUUUUUAAAAAAUAUUUUUUUUCCUAAAGGGAACUCUGAAUUUUUUUUUUAAAUAUAUAUAUAUUUUUUAAAAAAAUAUUUUUUUUACAUGGGAACUCGGACGAGUUCCUUUAGGAAUUUUGAGGAAUUGUUUUUUUUUUUUUUUUAAUAUAUAUAUUUUUAAAAAAAUAUUUUCUUUAACAUGGGAACUCGUCUCUUGAAGAGACGAGUUCCCUUUGGAAUUGUUUUUUUUUUUUUUUUUUUAUUUGGGAUUUUUUAAAAUAAAAAAUAUAUUUUAAAAAAAAAAAAAAAUUUUCCUAAAGGGAACUCGUCUCUUCAAGAGACGAGUUCCCUUUAGGAAUUUUUUUUUUUUUAAAUAUAUAUAUUUUUAAAGAGACGAGUUCCUUUUGGAAUUGCGUUUUUUUUUUUUAAUUUGGGAUUUUUUAAAAUAAAAAAUAUAUUUUUUAAAAAAAAUAUAUUUUUUUAAAAAAAUAUUUUUUUUCCCAAGGAACUCGUCUCUUGAGGAGACGAGUUCCCUUUAGAAAUUUUAUUUUUUAUUUUUUUUGGGAUUUUUUUAAAAUAAAUAAUAUAUUUUAAAUAAAUAAUAUAUAUUUUUCCCAUGGGAACUCGUCUCAAGCCUUUAGUUCCAAUUUUUUUUUUUUUAAUUUGAAAAUUUUUUAAAAAUUAUAUAUAUAUUUUUUUUCAUGGAACUCGUCUCUUCAAGAGACGAGUUCCCUUUUUUAAAAAAUUUUACCCGUUCACCCUCUCUCCUAUCUCCUCUUUCCUCUCUCCUCUUUCCUCUCUCCUCUCCUCUCUCUCACCCUCUCUCCUCUCUCCUCUCUCCUCUCUCCUAUGUGGCAAAAACUACCCUAUAUUUGUAAUAACUUCUUCCAUUACAGUAAUUGAAGAAUAACUUUUUUAAAUUACUGUACUAUUGAGAAAAGUCCCCGUCCCAAGCCCAUGUUGUAGUGGUUGCGUUGGUGCCACUGCCAAUUUGCCAACUCAUUGGUUAUUUGGAAUCUACAACUAAUAUAUAGUUUUUAAGUUGGUAAAUUGAAAAUAAAUGCACUUUCAAACUUAUUUCCAAAUUUUUUUUUCCUAAGAGUAAGAAAAGGGAAUUUUAAAAUGAUUCUAAUAUUUGAUUUCACUAAAUAAAAAAAUAAAAUAAAUAAAAUAAAUCAAAAUUGACUAAAAUUGUAUAUAUUUGUGAAUUAUUUAAAUUUUGUAUAAUAAAAUAAGGUAUGAAAAUAUUUAUUAAUUUCAAUUUUUUAUUUUUUUUGGGCAUUUACGUUCAAUUUUUUUGAAACCAAACAAAAAGAAAAAAAAAACGAGAAAAAGGUAGAAAGAAAUAUAAAAAAAGGAAAUGUUUUUUCAAAAAUGUUAAAAAUAUUUUUUUUUUCAUAUUUGAUUUCAUCACGAAAGAUACUAAAAAAUCAAAUAUAAUUAAAAAAAUUUAGAAAUUUAUAUAUUUUUAAAUUAUUUAAUUUUAUAUUGAAAAAGAAAACUAAGUUAAAUUUGAAGUAACAUGUAAAAAUUAUUCAUUAAAUUAAAAUUUAUUUUUUUAUUUUGACUCAUUUUUUCUUUUUUCUUUUUCCUUUUUUUUGUACUUUUUUCUUUUCUUGUUAUAAAAUUAGUUAAAAAUUUAUAUAUUUUUAAUUAUUAAAUUUUUAUAAGGAGGAGAAAAAAAGAUAAAUAUGUUUAAAAUAAAAAUAAUUUAUUGAUUUUAAUUUUUUUUCUUCUUUUUUUCUUUCCUUAUUCUUUUUCUCUCUAUUUAAUUUCUUUGGCAAUUUCCCUUUAAGUUUUUUGGAAUCAAACAUAAUAUAUGAAAAAAUGGAUUGUAAUAACCACAAAAAUUUUAGAAAAUACAAAACAAUCCCAACUUUUAAUUACAAUUAGGCUUGGUCCGUGUGUAAGCCACAAAGAGCUAGCUAAUAACAUUUUUUUUAUUUUUAAUUUUAUUUUAAUUACUUGAUAAAAAUUAUAUAAAAAUAAUAAUUUUCAUCUAUUUUAAGGUCGUGUUUGAAUAUAUUCUAUUUUAAAAUAUUUAUAUUUAUUGCACAAUUAUAUUGAUGGUUAAAAUCAUAUCUUUAUUAGAGAGAAUAUUAAAAUUGCAUUUAAUGGUUAUUUUAAGAAGUAUUUCUAAUUUUUUUUAACACUUGAAAAUUUUUAUAUUUCAAAUAUAAAAAAUGUUAGAACACUAUAAAUUGUAUUUGUUGUCUUUGAAAAGAACAAUUAUAAUUUAAUGAUAGACAAUCUAUAUCAAAAUUAAAUAUAAGUUUUAUAAUAAAUUAAUAAAGUAUUUAUUUAUUUAUUUUCUAUAUUUGUUCUUAUUAAUAUCUUUUUUUCUUUUUUUCUUAUUAGUAAAUUCAAAUAUGAACUCAAGUAUAUUAUUAUUGAUUAAAAAUAUUAAAAUCAAAAGGAUUAUGACAUGUCUAAUAUUAGUAUUUUGAAUAAAAAAAUUUAGAUAUUAAAUAAAAAAAAUAGUUAAUUAUUAUUUUUAUUAAUUUAAUUCAUCUUACUUAAUUUAAUUUAUUCUUUAUUAUUUAAUAAAUAAGUAUAUUUUAUUAUUUGUUGAAGUUUGAAAACUAAAAUAAUUUCAAAUAAGAUUUUUAACUUUUGUAAAACUCAAACAAAAAGAAAACAUACUUUAAUCAUAAAUUUCUUCCAAAAAGUAUCAAGCUAGUAUGAAAGGAAGGUAUUUAUAAAUAUUGAAAUAAAUGGUAUGCCUUAAUUUUGUGACACCUGUCAUAAUUAGAAAAUAAGUAUGUCUUAAAUUAGAAAGAAACUUAAAUGUUAAAUUCAAAUAAUUAUUUGAAUUUUGAAAUUAAUAUCCUUAUCUAUAAUUCUAUAUAAAUAGAUUAAUUAUUUAGAAAAAAGAAAAAGAAAAUAAUUGGAUAGAAUUUUGUAAUUUUAUUGCAAUCAUAAUUAGCCAUUGACCAAGUCUAUAAAGAAAAAAAAAACAAUAUCUAUAAGAGAAUUAAAUUUUUUUUUUCUAAAGGAUAUAACAAAUUGUUAGUAUUUGUUUAUUUUUUUUAUUGUCAUAAAUUGAUUUUUUUUAAUAAAAAUAAUAUUUAAAUUUAAAAAAAUUAUAUCUUAAUUUUAUAUAUUCGGUAAAUAUUAAUUUUACUAUCAUUAAUAUUUUCUUCUGAUAAUUAUUAUUCUUUAUUUUUAUUUUAGCAAAAAUUUAAAAUAGAAAAGAGCAUAUAAUCAACCAAAAUAGUACAAAUUUUUUAAAAAGCAUAAAAAAAUUAUUUUCAUUUAAGUAAUUUAUUUAUUUUGGUUACAUAUAUCUUUCUUUUAUUCAUACAACAUUAAAACAUUAAUAGUUUGACAAAUCUAAAAUCUAUUAAAGGGUUUUGAUACCCAAACACUUAUCUUUCUUCAACCCCUUCCUCCUACAUUCCAAAUUUUGUUAUCAUGUUUGGUAAAAUAAUUUAAUAGAAUGACUUAAAGUAAAAAAUAAAUUUAAGUAAUAAGUAAAAACAAUUAACUUAUUAUUAAGUCUACAUCUUCAUUUUACUUUUUUAAUUCAAUUUAUUUUACCUUUUACCUUAAUUAUAAUUUAUGAGGAUAAAUAUACUAAUUCGAUGAUUUAAAAUAAGUUAUAAGUUAAUUUUAUCAAAAAACUUUAAUACUUAAAGCAAGAAUUAAGUAUUAAGUUUUAAAUGAAUUGUUACAUCGACAAAAACGUUAAUACAAACAUUAUUAAUAAAAAAAUACAAAUAUAAAACAAUUAACAAAAACGGUAUACUAGUUUUUAAUGUGAUUCGACCAACCAUGCAUACGUUAAUCGAUGAAAAAAAAUCAUUUUACUAUACAAUAGAGAACAUUACAGAUGAUAUAACCAUAUACAACUAUUGGGUUCUCGAAACCAAUGUUUUCAAAAUCGAACCAGUUAUUGAAUCGAAAAAGUUAUUGGUUCAUGGUUCACUGGUUAUAAAUAUAUAAUUUUAUAAAUUAUUAAAAUUUAAAAUAAUUAUAAAAAUAAAAAUAAUAAAUUAUAUAUUAUUUAAAAAUUUAAAAUAAAAAAUAGUUUCAAAUUAGAAAUUAAAAUUAAAAUCAUAACUUUAAUUUAAAGUUUGAAAUUUGAAAUUUUAUUUUUAAAUCAAAAACUUAUUUUAAAAUCAGAAAUUUAUUUAAAAUUGUAAUAUUUCAUUAAUUUAAAUUAAAAUCAUAAGUUUAAAAUCACAAAGUAAAAAUAUAUAUAUAUAUAAAAGAAAAUAAAUAAUAAUGAAAUGUGGUAAAAAAUAAAAAAUAAAAAUCAAGAAAGGAAGGAAGGAGAGGGACGUGCCAAAAAUGGGAAGAAGGUGGUGGUGGUAGGGGCGGGUUCUAUUGAUGGGAGGGAUUGUUGGAAAAAAAAAAAUGGUUGAAUUGGACAGUUCGCUUCCAAUCCGACUACUUUUCGACCCAAUUGAUCGAACCAGACCAUAACUAUGACCGACCAUUUUGGUCCGAUUUUUAGAAUCAUGCCCAAAACAUUCUAUGUUUUCUCCCUCUUUGUAUCCCUACCCUAUCACAAGCCCUCUUGUAUUGUCUUUAUAGGUCCAUUUUCAUCUCAUAACUUUGUCUCCUUAUGACCUAUAAUAUGUAUAGAGAUAUUUUGAACAACCUUCCUUAUUCUACAAAGAAGUCUAACAUUACAAUAAUAUAUUAACCUAAAAAAUUAUAUAUAAUAUUCUUUACAAAUAAAAAAUAAAAAAUGAACCUAUACUAAUUAAGAAUUUGGGACACUUCCUAAAAAUCUUCACCUUUGAUCNNNNNNNNNNNNNNNNNNNNNNNNNNNNNNNNNNNNNNNNNNNNNNNNNNNNNNNNNNNNNNNNNNNNNNNNNNNNNNNNNNNNNNNNNNNNNNNNNNNNAGAGCAAUCGACUCCACCUUCACAAAAAAUUCAUUUUGUUCCUAACAAUCUUCACAUUUGAUCAAAUUUCAUGAAAUCAAUCUUCAAACUCUCUAUGAUACAAACUUUUUUUGUAUCAUAUUACUAUGAGAGAGCAAUCGACUCCACCUUCACUAAAAAUUCAUUUUGUCUUCAUUUUGUGAGUUAUGUGAUCUUUUGCUCUUCCAAAAAUCUUCAACACAUGCUCUAAUACCAAUUUGUUAUGUCGACGAAAACUUUGAUGCAAAUAUCGUUAAUAAAAAAACACAACAAUAAAAUAAUCAACACAAACGGUAUAUGAGGUUUUAACAUGGUUUGACCAACCAUGCCUAUGUCCACGGAUGAGAGAUAAUUAUUUAACUAUACAAGAGAAAACAUUACAGAUGAUAUAACUAAAACAUUACAAAGGACAUAACUAAAUACAACUAUUGGGUUCCUUAAAUAUCUCAAGUUUCCCUACUCUACGUAUCCUUACCCUACCACGAGUCUUCUCACUUCACCGGGUACCUUUCAUUAUUCCUCACAUCUUUAUCCACCUCAUAUAAUCUUUACCGUCCUAUCUUCAUCUCAUAAAUUUUUUUUCCUAAUAAUUUAGAAUAUUUAUAGAGAUCUUUCUAAUAAUUUUUUUUUUAUUCUAUAAGAAAGUUUAAUAUUACAAUAAUAUAUUAACCUAAAAUAUUCUCUAUAGUCUUUUUUACAAAAAAUAAAAAUAAUCUAUACUAAUUAGGAAUUCGGGACACUUCAUAACAUUAACAAAUAUAAUUUAACUUAAAAUCAACCUAAAUCAUUAAAUAAUGAAUAUUAAGUAUGAAGUCUUAACCGAAGGAGGUGAGGGAACCAAGUAAUAUGGUAGAGUUUUGAGUUCAUCUUGUAAAUUUGAAUUAAGAUGAAGACUAUUUGAAAAUUGUCUCAAAUUAUCUUUCGAGUUCAUUUGUAAGUUACUUAUUGUUUUCCUAAUGGGCUACAUUAAUACAAAGGAUUUUCAAAGAUAUAUUAUAUAGACUUUCUCUUAAGCGCAGACAGAAAAGGUUAUUAAUUUUCAGAUUAAAAUUAUUUUAAGCGAGAGCCGUUAUACAGCGCCAUUUCCACAUAAAGGGAUACGGCGACACUCGAGAGACUUUCCCGCGUUUCGGACAGAAUCGAAACCCUAACUACCAUGGAAGGGGAAGAAGACGCUUUGAAUGAGAACGAUUCAGACGACUCCAUGUUGCCAAUGGCGAGGCGAAGGAGAGAAGCGAGUGACGAGGAUGACGAUGGCAGUGAAUUCGAGGACAGAGCAAGGUCUCGCACGGUUGAUCGUAGUGCCCGCUUUGGCUCCGGCAAUGAAUCUGACGGUCUCAGUGAGGCACAGCUGUCUGAUAAUGAUGAAGAAUCAUAUACAGAAGAGGAAGAAGUGGACGAGGUUGAGGUAUUGGUGGAGCUGCCGGAAUCGGAUGCGGAGCGGACAGGGCUUCACGGUGAGGAUAAGCGAAACGAAGAGAAGAUGAAUUUGGAACCGUUCUUGGUUCCGAAAUUCGGCUCUUUCUACUUGCACGAUGAUCGGUCCAGAGAUACAGGUGGUCGUGGUCGGCGCCGGUACGUAUUUUUUAGUUUUGAUUUUCAAUAUUAGGAGUUUUUUUUGGGUGAAAUGCGUGAAAGUACUUUGGAUCUAUUUGUUUGUUUAACAAUUCAGUGUGAAUGAAGGUGCAAUCACUGUCUCUGUUUGUUUUGAUGGAAAAAAUUUCCCGCGUAAAUUGUUUCUCAAGAAAAGGAUUCCGCUUGUAAAUAGAUUUUUUAUUUAUUUUGAUUGCAAAAGUUGAAUUGAUUUUUCAAAGUUUUUGAGGGCCUAGUUUUGGACGAAACAAAUUCAGUUAGUGAAAAUAAAAUUUUACCACUGGAAAAGGUUUAUUCUGGAAAAUUAUACAACUAUUUUUUCUUUCCCUUUCUUUCUUCCUUUUGGAUAUCUCUAAAUGCAGAGUCAUGGUCGAAAUAUCCAAUAUUUUGGUGACUAGUUUGUCUGGAAACAAAUGGAUUCAGUGAAAAUAAAAAUUUGCAUGUGGAAAAAUAAAAAUGUUUCAAUAUGAAAGGUGCUAUGUUAUUUUCCUUGGAAAUUGCUGUACUUGUGAAAGUGUUUGCUUUUUGCACGAAAUUGUGUUGAUCUCAUGCAGUGGAGAAUUAUGCAGAAAUAGUCAUCAAUUGGGAGAUCAAAAUGAUUACUGGCAACAUAGAUGCCUAAGUUCUGUCUUAAAAUGCAUAAAAUGCCUGAAUUUUGUGAUUGCAGAAGAGAGUCUCUCUGCACCCACUUUUGAGGUCUUUUUCAUUUUUGCUUUCCUGUUUGUAUCAUGGUUGAACGAGAUUCUUGUUUCCUUCAGGCGUGUUGUUAGCGGAAGUAAGUUGUGGGAGACCAAAGAUGAACAGAAAUGGGGCCAUGACAAGUUUGAAGAGAUGAUGCAGCAGGAAAGGCAACAUCAGGAGUCUAAUGUAUUUAUUGAAGUCCUAUUACAUACUGAUAAUUGUUCUCCAUUUCCUAAUAGUUUGUUUUGUGGUGGUGUAAAACAUAUUACAAUGGUUUAUCUUUUGUCAUUUCUCAAACUUGAGCAACAAUAUCCGAACAGCUAUUAUGGCACUUUCUUUAAAUAUGCAGGUAAGGAGGAUUAGUUCAGAUCGUUCUCAAGGUAAUAGUAAGAGUCAAGGCCAUGGAAGUGGCAAUGUGAAAGGAACCAGGUAUAGACCCCAUGAAAACUCUGACAAUCAGAACAAAUCAUCAAAAGUUGUAAGAGGGAGAGGGCCUAUAAGAUAUAAAUCUCUAACAAGGAGCAAAAAUAUAAUCCCAUCAACAAAAAGCAAACAGUGAGUGAACUCCUUGGGUAUGAAAAGGUUUUCUACAAUGCUUCUUUCAUUGGAAUUUAUUUUCAAAUCCAUCUGUUCUUUAUGCCCUCCAAGGUCUGGACAGUCCCUGGAAACAACUUCAAACACCAAUUCAGAGAGAGUAUUAUUACACACUUCAGAUUCACAGUCUGUUCCGCUUGCCCGUAUGAAGUGUGUUGCUGCAUCAAGUUCGAGUUCUGCUUGGCUUUAUCCAGAUGGUUCUACCAGUCAUCUCUCUGUCGCACAGAAAUGGGAUGCAAAACCUGGAGGUACCAGUGGAUGUCAGCUGAUGUCUGUAUUGCUGGACGAGAAUUUUGCUGUGUCAAAACCUGGUGUUUUUCAACAACGGAACACUUUAGCUCAUCCUGUUGACCCCAAUCCGUUCCGCUUUAAGUCUGUUCAUCCGGUUGGUGGACAUUGUUUGACCAAUCUGCCUUCACAUUCUUCUGUGAGCCUGUCAACUGAUACGGGUGGAUCUCCCCUUUCCUUGGAUCAGGUAAAGAGUUUAUUUCUGGUCAGAGCCUCAUCAUCAAUUAACUGCAUCUUCCAAGCAAGUAAAUAGAGUUUCUCCACAGGGAUGGCAUCCUUCUGUUCAACCAAGGCCCCUUCAAGGCACAGUUCAACCUCCUUUAUGGGGUCCUGUACAGAAGUCGAGUCAGCAUUCUGAGUUUGGAUCUCAAGCUUCUUCUGAAGUCUUGGCAGUGAAUUCAUCUGAAUCUGGAGCAUUGGUAUCUCUACCAGGAGGUAAAUCAAAACAUGCAUUGGAUGGAAAAGGAACAGUCAUUGUCGAAGGAAAUAAAAGGGGUAACCUAUAUAGAAGAGGCGGUCAGAACUUUCCUGCUACCCCAGGAAAUUUUCCAGGUUAGGUAUAUCUGUAUGUCACUUCCCUUCUUAUACUGGAAGUACUGACACUUCCCUUGCUAUCGGUAGCAGCAAUUCCUGUUUUCACGAGUGCUUUAUCGCACUAUUACUACUAUUCCCAGUUAUGCUUGGGGUACUAGUACUAGUACUACUGCUACUACUUAUCACCGCUAGCCUCAUAACGCUACAACUAGACCCAAUUCUCUGGUGUACUUCUAUCACUAUUCCAAUAUCACAACUAUUACUGUUACUAUAACUACUAUCCAGUAACCCAACAUAUGGUGUACUUCUACUAUUACUAAUAGUGAUUACAGUUAUUGUCAUAGGACCAACUCACAAGAAAUUGAAAGGAAAUCAUUAGAGAGAGUAUACAUUUGAAUAACAAAAGAAUUGCAAAGAAUUGUACCCAAGCUAGAAGUAUUCCUAGGUUCUAAUUGUUUCUUUGAUGACCAAAAACAUCAACCUUUUUUUUUAUUUUAUCUGCUACUAACUGUUCUUUCAUACAGGUGACUUGGCUGAUCACCUCUCCUUUUAAUUCAAAACAUAAUGCAGACCAUUAAUUUUGAAACUGAUCCUGUCACAUGAGUCCAUAUGACCUUUCUGCAUUAAUCAGUUCGGAAGAGAAGUAUUUAUUUUCCAAUUACCGGUAAAUUCUUAAUAAGUUAGCCAAACAACUAUAAUUAGAUGAAAUGGAUCAUAGGUGGAUUUAAUUGGAAUUUGGGCCUUUUCACAUAUUGUAAACUAUUGAUAAUUCACAAUUCAAAUUAGCUAAGUGUAGCUCUUACAUUAUUGUUUGAUUUUUUAAGUCAGUAAACCUAGUGGUUAGCUUCAAAUUAACUCCUCAACUAGUCAUUGUUUACUGUAGUUCCAGCAAUUAAUAACCCUGUCUAUUAAAAUGACUAUUAUUAAAAGGCAUGACAAACUAUAAUUUAUAUCUUUAUUUUGAUAUGAUUGGCAACUUGUUUGCGUUCAUUUACUCAAGUUAGUAUUAUCGAACACUCUUGGGCCUCAUCCUGCUUCAAUCUCUACCUGAAUUGGGAAAAUUUGAGGACUCUUCUUUUUGUGUAUCAUAUGGCUUUGGAUCUGCAUGACAUCAUCCCGGACACUCCAUUACAUCUACAUUAAAGGCGUGAAAUUUUAGAAGUGGAAAUUUUCGUCUUAUGAUACCAUCAUUUUUAUCAUAACACAGUUCUUCUGCCUCUUCUUCAUCUUUGAGUUUAUAUCUUUGGCCAUGUAGUGAUGCAAUUUGGUGACCAGCAUCAUGGUGGUCUUGGAUUUCCUCCUGUUUGUACGUGUCUCACUUGUUAUUCGUCUCUAUCCGAACAUGGUUUUGGCAAUUCUGAUAUAGCAUGGUAAGCUCUGUUUCUCAUUAUUUUUGUGUACUUUUCGAGAAUUUUUUCCUUCUUUCCUUGAGGAUUAUAAAUGCUCCCAAAAGCUAGGUUGUCCGGAUCAGCAAGGUGGAUUUGUGAUUGAUUAAUGACUGAAUUUGGAAGAGAUACUGGAUGGUGAUACUCAUGGGGAAGCUUCUCUUUUGAAUAUACGUAAUAACUGAACACUGGAUCCAGCUGAUUUUCCCAUUAAAGAUAGAAAUAAUCAUGCAUACCUCUGUGAGAAGGGAUGGUUUGAUGGUUGGUGGCGUUGAUUUUUCUGUAACAAGGGAAGUGAACCUAGAGAUUGAGUUCUUGUUGUUAUAAUUGCUUGUUAAUUUGAGUUCUUACACUGUUUCAAGAUUACCAAAAAAGGUACAACAAUGGAUCAGCUUAUGGAGUAGUCAAUGUCAAAGCACCCAAACUCCUAGCAACUUUCUGCAAAAAUCAAAGGAGUUCCUUUGAAAUGUUAUCACUGUCCAAAUAUUGGAGUUAUUUCCUGCAUGAUUUCCUUUUAGUUUGAUCUUCUUUUUUUUCCUGAUAAUAUGAGCUUACAAAGUUUAAGGAGGAUUUUAGUGAUUUCUAUAAAGAGGCACAUAGUUUGAUGUGAUUAUCUCAAUGUAAGUCUACCCUGCUGUUGAACACUUCCUUUUAUUUAGUUCUCUAGUUGAUCUCAGUUCAAAUGGUCAAAUACCAAGAGGAGAAUGGU